CAUAGAAACCUGCAGCUCUGCUUCUGAAUAUCAUCACCAACAAUCAGCUUCAAACCAAAAACUGUAGCCAGCCUUGUACCAUCAGGCUAUAACCUUCUUUCAGCUGAAAACCCGUUGAUAAUAAACUGUUCUUGACUUGUUUUCUUAUUAGCACACUGAACUUCCAUGAAUCUGAUAAACUAGUGAGUUACUCGGCCCUUUAACUCUUUUAUCUUCAGCUAACCUUCUGAGACACCAUCCACAAACAUAGCUCCACCAUGAAAAAAAAAUAUCCAUAAGGAUAUGCAUUGCUCCUUUUGUAGCAACAAUACUCCACCUGAAACUAUAACCCUUGGAUGCACUUUGUCUCUAUAAGCUGAGCUUCACCAAUCUGAAUUAAAGCUACUCUUCACUAUAUCUUGGAUUCAUUUCCACGUUCUUAUGAAUCACCAUGAUUACUUGCUUGAGAAAGUGUGUCAAAACAUGAGACACAUCUUCUUUCUUCCUUCAGCCACCUCAAAUGAUCCAUUUGCAAUCAGAAAACCACUAAGAACUUGUCUUUAAUUUCUGCAGCCUUGUCCUCUCUUUACUUGGAACAUUCUUCAUGAUCUAAUUGUGAAACAACUUAGGUUGAUACACCAUCAAACCAUACCUCACUCCCAUAAAUAAAAUCUUGUACUUUCCUGUAGCCAAUUCCACUAUAUACUUGUCUUGCACCGCUGUUCAAACGAACAGGACACGCCGCCUAACACCCUUUGGCUAGGAAGACUUUCGACACAAGAAAAUAGUACAGCCAAUUGCAUACCAUCAGAUGCUUCUUUUAACACUUGAAGAUCUGAUCCAAAAAACACAAAACACAAGAUACACUCUGAGAAAAUAUUGCUCCACCCGAGAUAAGAACUCCUUGUUCCUUAAGCAAAAUUACCAUGUGUUAUGCCAAACACAAAUUUGCACAGAACAUGAAUCUUUUAUGCUGCCAUUACCUUGUCAAGAGAAUUCGUUCUCAUGACCAAACAAGCACAAACUGUCCAGCUUACACCAAACAACAUGCUUACAAACCACGCUGCAUUCCCUUUGAAAAUAGCAGCCUUGUAGCUUCACGUUCUCUGAUGAUCCACAACCCGUAGAUUCUCUCAUUCACAAGAACUGACAACUACACACAGAGAUAAACCUGCAACCGAAACCCCUUUCAAAACUCAGCCAAUACCAAUGAAGUUUCCAUAACAUUUUUCUGUCUUGAAUAAGCAGAAAACAUGACUUGCUUGAUAACCAUUCUGCAACCUCCUUUAAUUUGAACCAAGAGUACCUUUACUGAUACACACACAGCCAUAAAACGCCCAUAAGCUUCAAGAUUCUAAGGCAUCCCCUACUUCCAUGAAUCUUAUGAGUUACCGGGCUGGAAACACGAUAGUUAGAACACCACCUGAAACCGACUUUACCAAAACUGAUUCAGCCAGAAGAUAACAUGAAAACCAUCAUUGAAUCUUGGCUUAACUCUUGUAAAACCAGUACAUAACACUUGUGUUCCAACAAACUUCCAUUUCCAAUAAAUAUGCAGAACUUGAGCAACCUGAAACUUCAAUACAGAGCAUCACAAAAUCCCUUGUGACUGCAGCGGAAUCAGACAUAAGGUUUCCCAAAACUUGAGUCUUGAAAUUGAUGUUCAAUUUCGACAUCAACUCUUAACCGGUUUCUUCAACAAUGAUCAAGAAUCACCAUCUUCGAUCAAAUGCUUCUUGCUUCCAUCUCUGAAUUUCUCUGAAGGACUCCGAGCUUCAUAACUUCGAUUAAGCUCCAGCCUUCACAUCUCUUUCAUAUAUUGAAGCUCCUCUUUCUGAUAUUAACACAGACAAGAACUGAUGCACCCCCGACCAAAAAACUCUACGAAAUUUGGUGAGGCCUUUGCCUUUGUUGAAUUCCUUCGAGUUUCAAUUUCAACACUUCAACGAAAGAGAAAACGUCAAAGAGAAACGUGCCUUGUUCCUCUUUUGACUUUUGGGCAUUAAGAGAUCUUAGCCCACUUAGAAUAUUCACUAAUGAUAGACAAGGCCCAUCUUGGUCCAACUUGAAGAAAACAAUUUGUCGUACCUUGACCUUUCUUUUCCUCACCCGUCGACCAUCGUAAGAUGAUUUUGCCGGCCACCAUCCAGAUGUUAUCCGGUGACUUAUAUGGCCACCACAUCUCCGUGAUUCUCUCUCACCGUGCGUCUCUUCCUCGACAGCAAAACCCAAGGCUUCUUCUUCUCCGACUCGUUCUGCUCGUGACGGCGCCGUCUUCUCUUUCACGACGUCGUCGGAAACUCGAGCCACUCCGCCGGAAUCUCAGCCUUCUCCGGUGAGAAUCUCUCUGAAUUCCUUGUCGCCGAUCUCUGAACACCACAAGAGCUCAUGACAAGCUUCCUCCGCGAAACCCAGAUUUCAAAAGAAAUCUUGCAUCUUCUUCUGUCUUCUACUCUCAAUGCUUCUAGCAAGUCUAGUUCUUCUUAGAUGGACAAGACACUCCGUCUUCUAUGAGAUAUAAUCUCCAAACCAUCUUUCUUCUCUAGAGCUGCACUUCCCGAAGCCAUUGCUUGAUAAAGGUGUGACCUUUUUUCGACAAAACUUGCAUCUUCUUUGUAAAGCUUGAAUCUUUCUCACGGAACCUGAAGAUUCAGAGCAAAGCUUGAGUCUUUCAGCACUAACCUGUGCUCUGAUACCACUUGUAGAGGUUUUUAGCCUCUCAAAGGCUCAAGCUUUGUCUCAUUUGUCAUCAACACCAUAUUACGGAAACAAAUCAAGUAAAGUAUCGAGAAGAGGAGGAAGAUAAAACAGAGCAAGAUGAAGGAAGAAGAGGAGCACACAAAGGAUUUGUUAACCCGGUUCACGGCAUUAACGAGCCGCUACGUCCGGUUAGGAUCGAUAGAUCCACAACUUCACUAUGAAGAAGAAGGUAUUACAAACAAGAAGCAACAAGUGACCCGUCUAAUACCCUUCACUAGUACUUAGACUCACUCUGUACCACUUCCUGUAUAACUCAGAGAACAACAAUGACAAGCUUAUACUAAUACAUGUUUUCUCUCAUCUCUAUACCUUACUAACUCUUCUUCUUAGAUCUACAUUGUGCUAUUGCUCUCUCUCUCUACUCCCUUCUCCCUUAGCUUCUCUCAAUGAAGAUAAGCACCUAUAUAUAGAGACAGCUAACUAGGGCUUCCUUGUGCUAAAACAAACCGCAACCCUUUUGAGAACAAACUGACAAAACGGAGAGGCUCCCCUUUGUGGUCCCAAAAGUAUCCCAACCCAACUUUAACUUGACUAGAGUUAAGCCUUGAGUUGCUUUUGAUCUUCAUUUGCUUGAGAAACAAGUUCUCAUCUCCACAGGCCUUUUGUUAAAAGCCCAAAGAGCCGAAUCGAUAUUCACACACACGCUUGAACUGAAUCAUCCGGGCGCUUGCCUGUCUGAAAUGUGAAGCCGGAAGGUAGGUGGUGUACCUCUCUCUCUCUCUCUCUCUCUCUCUCUCUCUCUCUCUCUCUCUCUCUCUCUUUGUUUCUCUGUAAUUGAGCAUGUUAGGGUUAUGUUUCUAGAAUUCGGGUAAUUGCUCCUUGGAUUUAUGAAUCAAUUUGAUAAUCAGAGGAACUGAAUCAGGAUCAGAAGCAAUCCAUCUUUGUUUCUCAUACAUUUUGAUCAAAGAAAUUUUACUUGUAGUUGUAAUUAAAUAAUUCACACAGUUUUUAUUCUCCAGUGAACUCCUUGUGAAUGAUUAUAUUUAGUUUAAUAAUGAGUUUAGGUUCUUGAUCAUGCACACUGCACAGAGUUGGUAAGACUCUAUUGAGUCUUUUUUGUUCCUCUGUUUCGUAAUUUGAAGAUUUGGUUUCUGUUACUUCCUUCUUCUUGGCUAAUUUGUGUUCUUGCCCUUCUCUUGGAGAUUAUCACUAGGUUAUGUCUGUAUUUCCACUGCUGUGUCUUUUUGUUUUAUAACAUUCACUUUUUGAGCAAUAAUAAACAAUGGAUGAGAAACUACGAGGAGAUUCUGGCCAAAAUUUUCUGGUUUAUCUCUUUUUCUUCUCAGGUGUUUCGGUUGAAAUAAAGAGAAUCUGUGAGGAGAUUACUUUUAAAUAUUUCUGUAUUUGCUUAGAAUUCUAAUUUUUUACAGGUAUAUAUCUGAUUGCUGUCUUCCAGAAGUGGAAUCAAACCGGAGACGUCUUAGCUGUAAGAAUAUUAAGAAGUGAAACUCUGGUCUGAAUCAGUCGCCGGAAAAUACACUCCAACUCGAUCUCAAGCUCCUCAACAGUGAUCUCUGCAGCCUCCAACCUUGUAUUUGCGCUCUGCAUCGCUACUUUGUCCCACGCAUCAUCAAAGCAGCAAAACUGCAUUGUAAAGAUGGAAGAAAAUGACCCUAUGCUCGGUUUUCUCUCGAGCCAAGGAACACACACGAGCGAGAACAGAGACUCAACCAUAGUCACAAUAGCUCUUCUCACUUCUCUCAAAACCUCAGCAACAAACAGAAGGUUCUGCUCUAUGCUCUGCAUCUCCAUCAUCCCUCUUCCUCCGUCAAUACUCUUUAGACUAUUUAAACACUUGAGCGUUUCCUUCUUGAGCUUGUUCCUAUACUGAUUAUACGCUGCAAUCUUUUCACUAAGGUUUGAUCCAUUACAGCGCAGAGUCAGUUGAAGAUCUUGCAGGCCAUGUCUCACGAGUGCCAUGACAUCUUUCGACACAUUACAGACAUCUAACAUUAUUAGUGAAGCUUCAGAGACUUGCUCGAUCCAGUUCUCUUUCCCUUGUUGACUCUCUUGCUUCUGGACAGUGAUCGAGAAGAUAGUUUGCGCAGUCUUGUAGUUCUCUCAAACCUUCCAAGUCCAGUAGCGCCAUUCGACUGAAACCUCAAAAGGGUAUUGCUUGAUGAGAGAUUUGUGAUUAGGGUUUAGUGAGAUCUUGGGGUUACGCCCAUAAAUAGGGAUUGUUUCAAUUGGAGUUGAAGAUGGAUCUGAGGAGAAUGAGGAAAGUACGAAGAAGGAACCCCGAGGUUAGUUUUUUUUCUUUUCUUUGCGAGUUGUUUUUUUUUUUUUUUGUACAUACGUGAAGACAUUAGUGUUGGAAACAGGUCAUUUAGUUUACAAAUUCAAACUAGUUGAAGUUAGUGGUAUUUAGGAACCUUCCGUUUAUGUAAGUGGCAAUAGAUUAGGGCCACAUUAUGGAUUUGCUUCGAUAUUAUUGUCUACAUAACAAAACAAAAAUACAAUGUUAAUUUAAAUUAUAAUCGGAUACCUUUAUCACAAACCAUGCAUGAACCAAGCCAGCUAGUGUUUGUAUUAUCUGAACAAAACGGAAGAAUUAUUUAUUUAUAUCUGAAAUGUUCCAGAAUUUUGUUUUUGUAUUGUUGGUUUAAUAAUUUGUCGAAUUCAUCACCUGUUAAACACUAAACACAGAGUCAUAUCAUAUAUGUAUUGAAUAUUUAUGAUUGGAAUGUACUAUCUUAUUGUUAAAGGUCACUAAAGGGGUAUACAUAUAGAUUAUAGAUAUAUGUGGAAUGUCCAUAAUCAAAAUUUUCAAUUUAGUUAAAUUCAAAACUCUUUCAAGAACACAGAAAAUACAUGAUAGAUAGCAGAACUGAUGAGAACUAAAACAAACCCGUACAUUACGUGCACAUCAAGUCAAGUUCCUCAUAAGUCUGCUUUGAGUUUGUAGCUAAUUUCUCCAUAGAUUUGAAUAUCUGUUCCAUGUUAGACUUCAGAUUUAAACUCCCCAUUAAUUCAACAGAUGGUACUGUCUUCAUCUUCCUCUGCAUCUUCUGCUCUUCCUUCUCUAACAUCAUGAGCUUCCUCUCUAUAUCCUUUACGCUACCAUUAACAUUCCUCUGCUCUUCCAAUUCCAUCCUCUGUUUCUCAACCUGACGGUUUACAUGCAUCAAAAUCGUGUAAACCGCUUCGGUAAACUCCUUCUCUCCGUGUGAUCUCUCAAGGGUUUGUGACCAAGUGUUAAUAGCACCAAACAAUGGUGGCUCUUCUGAGAGAUCUGGUGUUGGUACUUGAGGUUCUUGCUUUAAAUAUCGCAUUAGCCAACUGUUCAAAGCUUUAACAUACUGAGCCUGAGCGUCUAUCCAGUUGGACAGGCUUAGGCUCCAGUUCCUCAACUCCAGUUUCAAUUCCAUAGCAAGCUCAAGCUGAGAUAAGUCUAGAUUCUCCUUUAUUGUCAUCUUAUCAAGCUUCUUAGCCUCUGCGAUCACUUUAGAUUGUCUCCUGUGACAUUCUAGCAUAGAGCUCCACAUCACAGACAACCUAAAUUGAGAUACAAUCAGCUUCGAUUUCUCAAACAAAAUCUUAAAAACUUAUGGUAAUGGUAGUUGCUUAAUACCUGUGGAUCAAUUCUUUCAUUUGGGACCAGAGCUCUUCAUCGCGUAACUUGUUUAUCGUCAGACAAAUGUUGUUUAUCUUAUGGAUAGAGACUCUCAUUCUUGUAGACAAACACUGAACCGAAGAACGAAUAACUUCAACUUUGCUUAGAUCUGCACUUUUUGCUUCCAAUCUCCUCAAUAGUUUGUAGUUCUUCAUGUGAGAAGUUCGGAGUUUCUCCUCAGCCUGUAAAUAACAAAUCAAAAGUCUUAAGGAACAUAAAACAAUUCGAUAAUUUUGCUACAAACCAUUCAGAGCAUUUUGAUUAUACCUUUACUUCUUGGUACAGUUUCUUCUCCCACAUAAAUAGUUUCUUCAGAGUAGAUGAAAGAUUAUUGAAAUCAGAUUCUUCCACUGGUUUGGGAUCAAAUGGAGUCAUCACCUUCUUCGUGUAGAGAAUGUUUGAAGAAGGAAGAAGAACUCGAACAUUACAUUGAUAAACAGAGCUUUUCUGGUAGUAUCUGAAUCUGGAAGUGUCGAACAUCUUCGAAACAUCAUUCCCUGAUUCUGAAGCUUUCUUGAACAUUUCUUGCAAUUGCUUUGUGACUUCAGAGAAAUCUGAUGAAACUUUAUGAUUCUUUGAUUCUUUAGGAGCACUCUUCCUAUUUUUCUUUGAGAUUCUCAGAGUUUUCUUCUCUUCUUUUAUUUUAAUAUUUUGGCUCACAGUAAUCUUCUUCUUCGUCAACUUAUCUUCUUCAUGAAAACGAGUGGUCUCUCUAUCUUUCAAAUCUUUGGCAUUCGUAAUGUACGGAAACUCAUAGUUCUCGAAGAAAUUGAUAAAAUCCCAAGCGUAAUUACUCGGAGCCGGCGGCGGUGGAGGCGGUGUUCUGGUGCCGGAUUCGUAUCUCCGGGAGUAAAACGAGUCAUGAUUAAGAUUUAGUGAUUCGAGUUUUGGACAGCUGAAAAGAUCGCAAUUCGUACCUUCAUCUUCUUCCUCACAAUCCGAAUCGAAUUUGGGAGGCGAAUCGGAAUCUGAACUGGUAACGGAGUGAGAUGGAGAAGAGGAUUCCGGCGAAUACGUCUCCGGGGAUUGGUCGGCUUCGGAUUCAACAUCUGGUGGAGACUCGACGGCUAGUUGGAAGAAUCUAUGAAGAGCAGGACCGACGGUGUUUAGAGAGAGGAGAUAAGCUGAGUGAGCGUCGGCUAAGGCGUAGCUUCGCCGGAGAGUGUCUUCUAGUGAGUUGCAGCGGUCACGGCAUAGAGAGACGGCCGGUAAACCGUCGAGCUUUGAGGGGGAGCAACCCAUAACGGUCGUGGGGGAAGUUGUGGUUUUCAAAAGCUUGGAUUUGUUGACAUAUAUAUAAAAAAAAGUCACGAGAAAUAAUUACGUGAUUAAGGUAAGGUGUAAUUAAUAUAGAAUGACUAAUUAUUGGCCAACUGGAGACAGAAUUACAUUAGUGAGCAAAUGAGUUACUACAUUUUAAGACAAAGGAUCCCAAAUGCUGUGGCGGGAUCCCCACUAAAUAACGUCUUUUUUUUUUUGGUGAGAAAAAUUAUCAUGGUUAUCAGUUAAAACUGAAAAAUAAUCACUUAAUUUCACAUGUCAACAACUCAGCAAAUUCCUUUUUCUUUUUUUUUUUAUCACUUAAUUUUGAUCACACUUAUUAUUGUUUGGUUAUAAACUUCUAAUUCUCAUAAUCCAGUAUGUAUCUCUUAUAAUCCAUAUAGUUCAAUAUAGAAUUUAGAUUUGCAUGCAUUGUUUCCAUUGAAUGAGCCUGGAUUACAUUUGUAAUUAGCAUCUUGCCAAAUUUAAACUAGUAAAAGCGCAUUACAUUUUCAAAAGGAAAAGCUCAUAUAGAGUGGUGACACUUCCACAUAAAUGAUUAUACGAAUAAUAGCCGUUUCUUUUCUUUUUUCUUGUGGUAGAAAGGACGUGCAACCAAACUUCAAUCUUGAAAUUACCCUAAUUAAUCAUAAUUAGUACAAUAAACGUUGCAACUAUUUUAAUUUUCUGUUCACCAUGAACAUAUUGCAUUGAUUGUUUUCUUGUUUUAUUGAAACGUUGCAUUGGUUUAUUGUCGUUCAAAUGACGUUUUUUUUUUUUUUUUGCAAUGGAGGAACUAUGCAAUUUUCAACUCUGAAAAUCAAUGAAGUAUAGAAAGUGGAAAAAGACGUGGUGUAAAAAAGUUAAAGCUAAAAAGUGAAAAGUUAAAAUAAAAAAGGUUUGAGAUUCAAAGUAACGUAAAGUAUUAUUAUAAUUUAUAACGAAAUCAUGCUCUAAAAGAGUAAAAGUACAUGCACAUGUUGUAGGUACGGAACUCAUAUUUUAAUCCUUUUUUCAGAACUCAAAACUCACGACUUUAGCUGCAAAUAUCAGUUUCUACUUUCUACAUACAAAUAUUACAAUUUUAACGAAGAUAUACACACAUAUCAUUUUUAAUCAGUAUUUGUUCUAGUUGUAGCAAUUUACUCACGACGAUGGAUAUUUUUUCCACAAAAAGUUGUUCGAAAGUUUGUUUCUUCUGACUUCUAUUAGAUGAAUGAUUGGAAUUAAUCGGUUCAAUGAUAAGUCUGGAGAAUAAAACCCUAAAAUUCAUGAUUUUUUUUUUUUUUGAUAACUACGUACCAUUAAAUUCUUGUCAAUUACACUAACUUUAUCUAUUUAUCUUAGAUAAAUAUAUAAAACUGAGCAUGACCGAGCGUCUGCACACGUCAUAACCUAGGUCUUCAACUUAAGUGUGAGAGUUGGAACUUUUUGAGUUUGGGGCUUUUGAGAAGAUAAGACGAAGAAAAAAGCGAAAACUUCACAAUCUAUACUAUAUAAAAUUCAGGGGCGGAGGGAGAGAAGAUUCAUAGGGGUCAAUUAACCCGGUGAAAUUUUUAAAAAUAGUUGAAUUUUUAUAUAAAAAAAAUUAUUGAUCCCAAUCCAAUAAAACUAUUGACCCCUAUAAGAAAAAUUUAUGUUACAAACCCAAUAAUUACACUGUAUUUAUAGAUAAUAUUAGCCUAAUAAAAUUUAUUUUAAGUAAAUCUACUACAAUUAAACCUACUAAUAUAAACUAAUAUAAUAUUUUAACAUUUAUUUUGACCUGAUCUAAAAACGUUUUACCUUCUUCUUCUUUCUUCUUUGUGUUUUUAAUCAAUCUUUGAUCGUGUGAUGGUGGAAACAAGAAAACAUCUUUCACAUCUUUUAGUAUAUCGACUUAUGAAGCUACCUUUUAUGCAUAUUUUAGAAGAAAAAAAAUAUUUUGACCCCGAUGAAUAGAGUUUCUGGCUCCGCCACUGAUAAAAGUCGAGGCUAUAAGUUUCUGAGGCCGUCCACGUGGAAUUUUAAACGACCAAUCGUGGUUGCACAUGUCAUUAAUUAGCAUUUUUAGCUAUCAUAUUAGUUAACAUUUUUUAAUUAUAAUAUUUUCUAUAUUAAGAUAUUUAUGAAAAGGAAAAAACAAUAUAUAUGUAAAGAAGAGAAAUGUCAAAUGUUUGAAAAAAACAUAUGAAAAUUUUUGGGUUUAAAAUGAAAAGGAAAAGGCUAAUAAUGAAAAGGAAAAAUUCUACUUGACAAAAAAAGGAAAAAAAAAAAACAAGAAGGUUUCUAAAUGCUAAAGCAUUGGUUUUAUGUAUAAAUAUCGUUCUAUAAUUUAGAAUGGAAUACAGAAAGAGAAUAGUUUAUAUUCUUGAAAAAAAAGGAGAGCUUAAAGAAGAGGGUCUAGGUUUAAAGGAUGAGCGAGAUGUUAUUUUUUACUCUGACCAUCAAACUGAAGAAGCAGCUCAACCUCAGUUUGUAGAAACCUUUGAAGAAGAAGAUCUAGGUUUUGACUUUGGGGAUGAACAAGAGCUUAACUUUAUCUAUGAAGAAGCAGUUCCAUCUCAGCUUGGAGAAUUUUUUUUUUUUUUGAAACAAAACCUUGGAGAAGUUGUUUCAUUCUACGGGUUGUCGCGCUUAUUGGUUGAGAACGAUGUUAGCUUUGACUUUGAUAAUCAAAUAGUGAUGUCGUCGGUGAAAAUGACAUGUAAACUAUUUGUUUGGAAGAGUUUGACUGUGGAACAACCGAACAAGUAUUGUGACUUUACUGUGUGGACACGAGUUUGACGAGGAGUCUUAUAGUGUGGUGUGUGAGAAGUCAUGCCUGUCCAUUGUGUCGACCAAUCUCGAUUUGCUAUUUUACAAAAAUCUAAAAUAUAGAAAAUUAGUAGAAUCUUAAAAAAAGUUAAGUAGUGAUUAUUUUGGGAUUUUAAUCGACCUAUCUCGAUUUGCCAUCUCACUAAUUAACAUUUUUUGUCAUCUCAUUAAUUAACAUUUUUUAAAUUCUACUAUUUUCUAUAUUAAUAUUUAUAAAAAAAGGAAAGAAAAAAUAAUAUACAUGUAAAAAAGAACAUUGUAAACUUUUUAAAAACAACUUAUGAAAAUAAAAAAAUGUCAAAUUUAGUUAUUAGUAUAUAUAAAAAUUAAUUUCAUAAUUCGAGUUAAGAAAAUUUAAACAAGUGAAAUGUAAACUUCUUGAAAACAUCAUAUGAGAAUAAGAAAAAUCUCAAAUUUAGUCAGGAGAAUAUAUAAAAAAGAAUUCAUAAUUAGAAUUAGUAAAAUUCCCUCAUUCUUAAAUAAUGUAGUUAAUUGGAAUUGGAAAGAUUUUAAAAGACAAAAAAAAAUAUUAAAAACAUUAUAAGAAAAAUGUCAAAUUUAGUUAGUAGUACAUUUUUUUUUUGGACAACUUGUUAUUAGUACAUAUAAAAUGCAUUUCAUACUUAGAAUUAGGAAAAUUUAAAGAAGAAAAAUGUAAACUUCUUCAAAACAUCAUAUGAAACUAAGAAAAAUCUCAAAUUUAGUUAUUAUAAUAUAUUAAAAAUAAUUUCAUAAUUAGAAUUAUGAAAAAUUUCAUGAUUCUUAAAUAAUGUAGUUAAUUGGAAUUGGAAAGAGCAUAGAAGACAGGAAAAUUAUGAAAUAAUUUAUGUAAAAGUUUUUUUUUUUUAACUUAAUAUUAGAUGAAGAAAUAUUCUUAAUUCUAAUGUAGUGAUUGAGGGUAUUUUAGAAAAUUUUUGUCGGAUAUUAUUGUUAAUAGGAAAGUAUUAUAAUUUAUAACAAAAAUGUCAAAUUUAGUUAUAUACUACAGUUCAUAAUUAGCAUUAGGAAAAGAAAAAUUUAAACUUCUUCAAAACACCACAUGAAAAAUAAGAAAAAUCUCAAAUUUAGUUAUUAGAAUAUAUAACUGGUAGAAAUUUGAAGUUGUUUGAACAAAAUGAAAGAUCAUUUUAUCACUUUGUGGCGCUUAAAAUAAUUACAAAAGAUAUUUGUUAGAAAACAUAUUGAAAAUAUUUUAUUGUGUAAAACAAUGUAAUAAAAAAUUAAACGAAAAGUUUUUUGGCAAGUAAUUAUCUUGAUUUGGAAUAGUAUCUUUUUAUGAUAGCAUAAAAAUUUCUAAACAUAUAAAGAGCUCCCAUUUUGAUUAAAAUCUAUAGUUACUAUGGCAUAAAAAUGAUAAUGAAGAUAGUAACACCAAUAUGAUAUGACUUCAAAGACCAAUUAGUACCAAUAGAGGCUAAUAAAUCAAGAUGAUUAAAAAUACAAAUAUAUUAUAACACAUAAAUUAUUGACAAUUGUUAAUCAACUACAUUUUAAAUUUAUGUUAUAGUUUUCUUAGUUGUGUAUUUGAAAUAGAAAUAUAGGCUCAAUAGUAAUUUAAGAAAAUUUAGAGACUCAAACGCUAUAAUACAUCAUAUUUCUAAUACGUUUUAUACUAAAGUUAUUUUAUACUAAAAUUAUCUUCAAAACUUUUUUUACUAUAACAAAUUAAGUUUUAAACAACAUUAAUGAUACUAAAACUAUAAAUAAAUGAACAUUUAUGUUUGAAAUAAUAAAAAAAAAACAUUAUAGUAUUUUUGCAUUAAUUACUGUAUGUCAAUGUAUAUUUAUAUAAAUGAAAAUUAAGGCCAAAAAUAUAUUAAAUUAAUCAAUAAAAACAAACCCCCGCGUAGCGGGGGGUUAAUAUAUAUAAAGAAUGCACGAGGAUCUUUAUAAUUAGUUCCUAAACCAGCCCAUCUCUUAAAAGAAUUUUUUUUAACUAUAUAUUUGGGUGAAACAAAAAGAGUGGAAUGUUUCCUUUUUGGGGAUGGUGGAGAUCCACCUCCUCAAAUUCUGUCAUCUUAUCACUACUUUUCUUAUUAGGAUAUUCCCAUGCGUAUUAUAUUUGAUUCAACUAAACAUUAUUCCAUUCAAGAAUUACCCAUAUUAACAAAACGACGAUAACUUUAGAGUCUUACAUGAACACGAAGAGGCGCAUUGGGCUUUCGACAAAAUCAAUAGAAAAAGACACUUAUGAUCGUACAACUUUUGUAAGUGAAAUGGUUAAUAAUCUCGUAGUUAGGAGUUUUCUUAUGUUUGUAGUUUCUGUUUUAUGUACAUUUCAUUUUUAACCAACUUAUUAGCUGAUAAGAGUUUAACUAAUAGUCGUUGUUUUAAUAGGCAGACCUAUUGUCAGUUUUUUUUCACGAUUUUCUUACUUUUUGGUUAACAAACAUUUCAUAGUCGUCAAUUUUGAUGUUUACUGCCAGGCUUGGAAAAAAUACUCACAAAAACAAACAUCAUUUUUAAGUAACGGUCAUAAUAUCAUGAAAGCCUCAAGUACCUUGUCUCUGUGUCUUUACUAAUACGUUGUAACAAACGUAAUGAUAACAUUCUUUUCCUGAUGAUGGAUUCAUGAUUUUAUGCUUUUUUUGGGUGAUCAAACAAACGUUACAACGUUCUAACUAUGACCGGGCCUAAUAGACAUUUAUGGGAGUCUAAUUGGGCUGAUUCCUUUGAAAACCCCUUUAGGUAACCUGACUAGAGAUAUUUUUUUAGAAGUUUGUUUAUGAACUACUUUGAUCUGUUAUAAUUUUUCAUUAUUCUAGUUACUUUCCUCAAUGAUUUUUUUUACCUUCUACUAUUAAACGUUUGGAAAAUUUUCUCAAGAGUCAACAAGAUUCAAGAGUGUGAAAUUGUAACAUAAAUUAAUUGGGCCUGAAUAUAUUAAGUUAGGCCCAUUAGUAUCAACACUAACACGAAACCAGCAAAAUCAAAUUUCUCGGGGGCAUCAGCUUCAGGUCGUCGUCUUCUACCUGAAUCAGUGCGUCGGCUCAGGCGACAAUGCAAGGAGGAUCGUCGGGAAUCGGAUACGGUUUGAAGUAUCAGGUGAUUCAUCAUCUUCUUCCUCUUCAGAUCUUCGUUAAUUUUCCUUAGUAAGAUUCUUUAAAGACGAAAUUCAUUUGUUUUCAGGCUAGAUGUAUAUCGGAUGUGAAAGCUGAUACGGAUUACACAAGCUUUCUCACCGGAACUUUAAGUUUGAAAGAAGAAAAUGAGGUGAACCCAUUUCUUGAUUGUGAUUUCUUCUUCUGUUUUAAAUUUCAAUCGGGAAGAUACUGAAGAAAGUUUUGUUUUUUUUUACCUCCACCAUUUGAGAUACUUUUAAGGUUCAUCUUCUUCGUUUGUCCUCUGGUGGAUCUGAGCUUAUAUGUGAGGGUUUGUUCUCUCAUCCUAACGAGAUUUGGGACCUUGCUUCUUGCCCUUUCGAUCAACGCAUUUUCUCUACUGUCUUCUCCACUGGUAAAUCAGUUGCAAGAAAUUAGAGAUUUUUAGUAAUCUUUUCGUAUUAGCCUUUGCUUGAAUGUGUCAAAAACUCAUAAUGGUUUUAUCCGUUAAGGUGAAUCAUUUGGAGCAGCGAUUUGGCAAAUUCCUGAGUUAUAUGGUCAAUUGAAUUCUCCACAAUUGGAGCGUGUUGCAUCUCUUGAUGCACAUGUUGGUAAGAUUAAUUGGUGAGUUUAUGAUCAAAACGUUUCAGCAGUCUAUUGCUAACAGUGAUGUUAAAGUGUUAAGAACUUAUUUCUUCCUUUUCCUCAAUCAUUUACUGAAGCUGACUCUCAACUUCUCUCUCUCUUGUGGAAACAGUGUUCUUUGGUGGCCUUCUGGAAGAUGUGACAAGUUAAUCAGCAUUGAUGAACAAAAUCUUUUCUUGUGGAGCUUAGACUGUUCGAAAAAGUCUGCUGAGGUGAUUUAGCUACGAGGAUAUUGCGACAACCUCUUUUUUUUUUGUGCUUUUUUCUCUCAUGUAUUUAGAUCUUUCGUAGGGUAUUUCGGUUAACAGGUUUCGGUUUCUAUAGGUUCUAUCUAAGGAUUCAGCUGGGAUGUUGCAUUCUUUAUCUGGUGGAGCAUGGGAUCCACAUGAUGUAAAUGCUGUUGCAGCAACUGGUGAAUCAUCUGUCCAGUUCUGGGACCUGCGUACUAUGAAGUAUGGUAUCACUGUUAAUAUCCUCUGUUCCGGCAUGCAAUUAGGAAGUUUUACGCGUUGGUUUUACUCACAGACGUUAUUACAUGCUCUCAUGGGGGUUUCAAUGUCAAAUUACUGUUAGUUGCUUUUGGUUUUACCUCCUCACAUGAACCCAUGCUAUACAUGUUGACUUUCUCCAUGUUGUUUGCCCAACGAAGGAAGGUUAAGUCAAUUGAACAUGCUCAUGUACGCGGUGUUGAUUACAAUCCCAAGAGAGAACAUAUACUUGUAAGACUCCUCUCUUGUACCUCCAAAACAGUACGAAGUACUCUAUAGUUCGUAUCCGAGCAUUGAGCUGAACUCAUUGUUGUGGAACUCAACCUUUGGUUUAGCAUAAAAGUAUUAUCAUAUCUAUGCUGUGAUAGAUUAAACAUUCGGUUAUGUAGGUAACUGCAGAGGAUGAAUCUGGCAUACAUGUCUGGGAUCUCCGGAAGGCCAAGGUUCCUGUCCAAGAGCUUCCUGGUCAUACACACUGGUAUGUUUGCUUCUGCUUCCUUUUUAAAACUUUUUUUUACAGGAACCAAGAACUUGAUCCUUGAAUUUGUGCCUUUGUAUGUUUUUGUCAAAUUUUGCAGGACAUGGGCUGUCAAGUGUAACCCUGAGUAUGAUGGACUGAUUCUGGUACUCUACUCUCUUUCUCCUUUGUUCUUCUUAACACAAUCAAAUCGUUCCACUUGGUAGCUAUGUAUGCCAGUCGCAGUUUUUAGCUGAAAUGUGCAGUUUUAUUUUUGGUACAUCCUACGGUUUAGCUUAGAAAAACAAAGCCUCUGCUUUAACUUUGCACACUUAUAAUUUGUGUCAAUUCUGAUUCAUUCAAGUAAAUAUACAGAGCGCUGGAACAGAUUCGGCUGUCAACCUGUGGUUUGCUUCAGCAUCAUCCAGUGAUGACAAAACCUCAGAAAGGUUAUUUCAAAUCUCCUAAACGUCCUCGCACCCAUGAUUUUCAUUUUUUUCCAACACUGUUUUGAUUUCAUUGUUACCAUAUUUCUCAGUCCUGUGGAAUCCACACGACAGCGUGUGAACCCGUUGCUUAACUCAUACACUGACUAUGAAGACAGUGUCUAUGGUAAAAUCUCUUACAUCUUACGAUUACCAUUUUAUCUUGUGAACUAAACAAUACUUAAAACACAGGCCUUGCUUGGAGUUCACGUGAGCCUUGGGUUUUUGCAUCAUUAUCAUAUGACGGAAGAGUAAGUAAACUUUCUCUACCCCAUAUACUCGCACAAGAUCAACCUAAACUUCAUUUAAAGAGCUUGGGGGGGAUUCAUCUGAUUAUUAUCUGUUGCGUAUAUAAAUGUUAGGUCGUCAUCGAAUCCGUCAAGCCUUUCCUUCCAAGAAUAUAGUAAAAACUCAGCAUCUCUUUUGCUCUGACCCAGACAGGACCCAUCUUUUGGUAAAGAAGUUGGCACUAUUGUAUUUGAAGCAAUGUACUUUUGACACAAUCUUUGUGGAUCAUGAUGUAUCUAUCUAUCAUUCACCCAGAUUCUUUCGGUACCAAUAUUCAGUUGCUUUGAACUAAACAGACUCAACGACUAAUUCUUAUCGGAAUAAGUAAGAAAAUAAACUGGAAAAAGGGGUCAUUCUUUCUCGGAUUGGAUUUCUAUGUACAGAAGAUAUUGAUGAGGUAUAUGACCACAAUAAAAAGUGGAUUUUGAAUCCUUCUUUUAACUGAAUCAAUCUGAUAGCAUUUCUUCUAGCUCAGGCUCUUCUGAAACAGAUAAUGCAUCAUCAUAAUCUAAUCUCGUACCAUUAUACAAUCCUCUGUCCUGUAAAUCAGUUUGGUCUUCCUCAUAAUCUGUCUCUGACGACUCUGCAUCUUCAUCUACAUUCUGUUCAUCAUCUUUUUUGUUUUUCUUCCCAAGUUUUCUCGAAUCCAUCUUUCCCGCCUUUGCCUUAGCAUCGGUAUCUUCGCAUAUACAAGCCGCUGGAUUCUCAUGAAACUCACCUCUUCCGGCUCGUACUUCCUUUGGCUCUCCCAUGAAUCCUCUCUGAAAUGUUCUGACUCUUGAAGCAAACUCCUCCCAAGUAGUAUUCUCUUUGCUCAUAAACAACUUGUAUAGCUUUUUCGCAUUUGGCCUAAUUGUCGGUUUAUGUCCAAAAUAUCUCCUACAUAAAACCAAGAAUCACUCAACACAAAAAGUUAACAACUUUGAAAACAGAAAUGAAGCAGAAAGAAGAAAGAUUAGCUUUGGUUAAUAAACUACCUUCGACCGGCUAAUAUUCUCGCCAUGUUUCCGUUAUUGUUGGUAACGAAAACAUCGCUUUCAUCACACACAAGGAAAUCAAGUGCAGCCAUUCGUGAAGAAUAAGAAGAAAAUGGUUUUAACUCCAUUUUUGUAGCUAUGGUGUCUUUUGAAUAGAAAUGUGGGAAAAGUGCUUUCAAAGGAACCAAUGAUUUUUCUCCUCCAUAUACUUCACCUGAUGCAACAUAUAUAUGAACAUCACUUCCAUAUCCCAAAGCUCUAAGCAUUAAUCCAACUUCUUCUGGUGUAAGCGGACAUCUUCCUUGUCGCCUUUGCUUUUCGGGGUUAUUUACCUGCAAUGCGAAAUUCGUAAUAUUUAACUCAUUAAAUCCAACAAGAAAAAAAGAAGGCCUUUGCACAGAUAAGAUUUAUAUCCAUACAUGUAAAGUUUUCCAUCUCCUUCUGAUUGUUCCUAACUCUUUCUUCUCCUUCUCACCACCACCAUAGUAACAUCCCGAGAAGGCGAGCAUAUCAGGUUCAAACCUUAGAUGUAAAGCAAUGAAGUGCUUGCUCUUUUUCCGCAUUCUUCGGACCAAUUCGUUACCCAUUUCAAGAAUUGGAUCAGUGAACUUAAGCGCAUGAUAAUUUACUCUACACCUCAGCUUCUGCAAAUCUUCUCUCAACUUGUUUGAGAGUCUGUAAUCAAAUCUAUUCAAUUCAACUGCCUGAAACAAAGAGUUACAUGACCAAAUCAUAUAUAAGCAUCAUAGAGAAAAACCUUUAGAUGCUAAGAAGCGUAAAGAUUGAGAGAAAAACAAGAAAACUUACAUGCCUUUUCUGAAGAACAGGUAACACCCGAUUGAUAUAGCAUUUCUCAUUGCAUUUUCUCGGUACACGCAUUCUGCGAGGGCUCCAUGUUUGCCCUCCUUUCUGUGGAAGUUUCUCAAUGAUUUUGACAUCUUUUGAGAGAAAUGAUAUAAACCAAUCGACAUCGAAAAUGUUCGAGAAGUCACUGCAUAUAUAAAAAGCAUAAAGUAAGAUGUUACUAAGAUGCAUAAUAUUUUGAUUUUUACGAACGCUUGAGAAAAAUCCUUAGCAAGAACCUGGCAUCUUUCCAGUAGGAUUUCUGGUCCAACUUCGGAAUAACAAGCGUAGCAUUUAGAAUCCGUGCAGCAACAACAGCAUCUACAAUCUGAAAGAAGUAAUUACAUUGUGAAACUCAGAACAAGAGUUAAGUAACAACAACAAAAAUCACCAUAAAACCAGAGGAAGCUAAAGGAACUUACUCCAGUCCGUUGUUGGUUUAAACCACCACUAGUAGCAAUCGCCAAGUAUCGAUCAUUUCUAGUAAUUGCUUUAGCAUCUGCAGUAAGAAAAUCAAAAUGUAGUGUGACUAAUAAACCUCCUGAAAAUUCAACACCAGGCUGAUUAGCUAAUUGCAGAAACAUUCAAGCAUUCUAAAAAUAACACUUUAAAAACCAAAAUUAAUUUAAAAAGUAAAAAACUUUACACACUUGGGAACUUGCUGCUUGCAUUACAACAACCAUAAAAGAAUUCAGCAUUCCAUGAACGCCAGAUAUCACGAUCCAAUUUCCCUCCACCUCUCUGCUUCGUUUUAAAACAAACACAAACACAAAAGGAGCCAAUAAAGAGAGAUGCAACAAACAAAUUCAGACUUUGCAAUCAAAUUUAAGAACCCUAACCGGAACUGUGAAAACCACUGGUAUGUUCUUCUUCUCAUCAUUGGUUCCAUAGUGAAUCUGCUUCUGCAAUUAAACAGAUACAAUGGCGUUAAGAGACAGAGAUCAGAAUCUCAUCAUCAACAAGUCUAUAGAGCGAGAGAGUAUACGGAGAUGCGGCGAUCGGAAUCAUCAGGAGGAGGGGAAAGAAUGGAGAGAAGAGCGAAGAGGAUGAGGAGAGCUCCAGAGACGGCGCAAAUUAAAGGGAGGAGAAGACGGAGACGGUUGUAGUAAUUGUAGCGCCGCCGCUGAAAAGCCAUUGAAGGCUAUUACACGCGGCGCUUUUGCCUUCGCCUCUACGCCAGAGAGAGAGAGAGAGACAGAGACAGAGAGAUUCCAAUGGAGACAAAAACAAAAGUCUUUCUCUUUAAGAGUACACUGGUUACAGAGAUUCAAAAUGAAAGUAUGUCUGUUCUGUUUUAUUUGUGAUUCUCCUCUGGUUUUUCACGACAUUUCCAUCACCACAACAAUCAUUGUAGAUUCUCUCUUUCGCUUCAAGAUUGAAUUUUUAUAUACCAGAGACAGAUAAAGAGAAAGAUUGAGAAUUUUUUUUUGUUAUUUGUUUUGGGACAGUUCUUAUAGAUUUCUGGGCUCUGAAAGAAAUGAGGCACCGCCUCCAGCACUUCGUUCUAAGUUCUAACAGCUUUAUUUUAUUUUUUUUAUUUUUUAAUUAUUACUCCUUAAUUAAUUAAUUUCAUUGAUUGUUUUAAUUUUGGUGAUAAACUAUGAGCUGGAUUUUAAGAAUCUUGCAAAAUGAAAGUUUUUCUAUUUGUUUCUCUAUUUCGUUUUGAUUGUUAAAUUUCCUGUUUUGUUUAAUUUUAUACUUAUCUAGACAUUAUUUGUUACUAAUAAUUGAUUUUAUCUAGUUUAGCAUUUUGUGAACUCUAACCAUCUUUUUUUGACAGAAGAGCAAGUUGGAAGCUAUGUUAUUCUAAAAUCACUUAAGAAACCAUUACUGUCUAAAUUUCCAUAAUGGUGUAAAUAUCACUCUUUGCUUUACAUUUGUUAUCAUCCCUAUUUUUUCAUCUUUAUAUUAGUAAAAAGAAGAAUAUUUUCAAAUUACUAUUUCAGUUAUUAACUUUUUGCUAAAGAGUGUAAGUGAACAAUAGCGUGAAGUGCGAAAGAAAGUAUACUCUUUUUGUCUGUCUUUUAUACCAGUUUCUGUUUACUUGGUCUUGUCACAAUCGAUGAACAUAAAUGGUGUGAACCGGUUUGAGAAUUCUUGCAUCCCUACUCUUAACCAAAAUCGGAAAUUAAUCUACGGUUUGAGAUCAUCUACUACCAUUCUACCUAUGGUCUAACCGAGUCAUGGUCCGGUUUAGUCACGUUGGUUUAAGCACUCGUAUUAAUUGAUUGAGCAAAAAGAUAGUUCACACGCAAAUUGAUUAGUAGAUGAUUAAGUUUAUCUUUACGCGUUCACGGAAUGAUUAUUUCUUGUUACAACUACAAGUUUCACCAUGUGAACAAUAGUGUUUCAAGUGUCAACCAUAGGGAUGGAUGGAGACUUAUAGCAAGUUCACUCAUUUCGUUGCAAUGUUAACAUCUACUUUUCGUAAAUACUAUACAACGUUAUUUGUUAGACUGUUAGGUGGUACACAAAUUUAUUUAGUGAUUAUAAGUUUUGUAAUUAUAUAUUUUGUAUCACAUGCAUCCAUAAAUAUGAAAUAUACUUUUCAAUUCAUUGAAACAUCAAUAGAAUUUUGCAUUAAAAUUGAAAAUAUCAUUGAAUUAUUGAAAAUGAUUAUGUAGAAUAAUCAAACUAGAGAGUAAAUUAAAUUUCUUAUUUAUGAUUUGAAGGGUAAAAAAACAUACAAAUUGAUUGAUACCAACCUCUUAAACCGAUUUAGGGAAGAAGAAACAAAUCGUAAGAAAAUCGAUUUAUAUAUUGUACCAUGUCAUGAGUCAUGACAUGUAUGUGUAGAACAAUACACGACUUUCUAACAACAGUAGUACUUUAUUUAGCUUUCUUAAAAUAGUCGAAAUCCAAUAAACAAAUUCCAGUAAAGAACAACAAAAAAUAGAUAAUUAAGAGACAAUGAUCCAAAGAUUGAUUCCCUUCAAAGAUAAUAUAGUAAAUAUAUAUCCAUCCACUUGCCACAGAUCAACUCUAAUCAGUAAUCAGAAUGCUGGGGAUCUAAUUUUCCGGAAUUCCAAUUUCAUCCCGGUUUUAUUAAUUUCAGAAACAUACAACUUGGUUUAAGUUUUCCAUUCCGGUUUAGCUUAGACACAAACAUGACCUUAUACACAGUAAUCAAUUUAUAAGACAUCUCAUAGAGAUUGGAAGUAACAAAAAGAGCUUACCAAUUCAUAACUUGCUUCUGCCUUUCUUUGAUAUGCUUCCCAAAGCCUUAGCCUUGGUCCUCAGAACAAACUUCUGAACUUUUCCGGUCGAUGUUUUAGGAAGAUCCUCAAACACGAUACUCCUCGGAGCCAUAUAAUGCGGAAGCCGGUCCCUGCAAUAGCUUAUAAGCUCCUCCGCGCUGGCCAUAGACCCAUCUUUAAGUUUCACAAAUGCACAAGCAGUCUCACCCCAAUACUCAUCAGGCCUCGCAACAACAGCUGCUUCAAGAACACAAGGAUGAGUGAACAGAGUAGACUCGACUUCAAUCGAGCUAAUGUUUUCUCCUCCAGAGAUUAUAAUGUCUUUUGAUCGGUCUUUCAGCUCUAUGUAUCCGUCGGGGUGUUUAACACCUAGGUCGCCACUCCAAAACCAACCUCCUUUAAAAGCUUCCUUGGUUGCUUCAGGGUUCUUUAAGUAACCAUUCAUCACUGUGUUUCCCCUGAAGACAACUUCACCCAUAGUCACACCAUCAGCUGGCAAAGUUCUCAUGGUUACAGGAUCUUUAACUUGUAUUUCCUCGAUCCCUAUAUGAUUCACGCCUUGCCGGGCUUUCAUUUUUGCCUGUUCUUCUCUAGGCAAAGAGUCCCACUCAGGUUUCCAUGUACAGAUGGUGCCUGGUCCAUAAGUUUCGGUUAACCCAUAGGAAUGAAACAUAGAAAAGCCCAACUCUUCCAUCUUGUAAAUCACAUGAGCUGGUGGCGGUGCAGCACCGGUUAUAAAAGAUACCUUCCCGGGAAGCGAUUUCUGCUCGGAUUCAGGCGCAUUGAUAAUCAUAUUCAAUAUUGUUGGCGCACCUCCCAUGUGAGUCACCUUAUGCUGGGAAACAUUAUCGAAUAUAGCCUUGGCCGUCACAUUCCUCAAACAUAUAUUAGUCCCACCAAUUGCGGUAACACCCCACAAUAAGCACCAGCCAUUGCAAUGAAACAUGGGAUUAGUCCAUAGAUAAGUAGGCGAUGAGUGCAUUUCGUUGAGUAAAACCGCAGCCAGAGAAUUCAAAUAAGCACCUCUGUGACUAUAAACAACACCUUUGGGACUUGAAGUGGUACCUGAAGUGUAAUUAACAGAUAUAGGAUCACACUCAUCGGUUGGUCGUAUAACCUCGAAAUCCGAUUUCCCCAUCGCCACAACAUCUUCGUAUUCCAUUAUAUCCUCCUCAGAUCUCUUCUUCCCUGAAACAGAUUGAGUAAGAGGCUCUGGGACCAAGACCAAAAUCGGGACCUUGUCACCCUUCUUCGAGAGGAUUUCACAAGCUCCUUGAGCAAUUUGGAGAAACUGAUGAUCUGCAAAAAUCACUUUUGUCCCUGAAUGUCUCAAUAAGACAGCUACAAGUGCAGAAUCAUGACGAAUGUUGAGUGUACAAAGCAAAGCUCCAGCCAUAGGAACACCAAAAUGCAACUCAACCAUAGCUGGAAUGUUUGGGGCCAACACUGAAACCUUGAGAAUCAGAAAACGCAGCAAACUAAGUUUCGAUUAAAUUGAAAUCCAAAAUUAUCAUCGAUCUACGAACACAAAAGAUCUCCAAAUUGCAUGGGAUCAACAAAAUAAACAAGCUAAUAAGGAAAGAAAAGGCAAAAUCGGUGAAAGAGAGCUUCUGACCACAUCUCCGGUAGAGAUUCCGAGCUGGGAGAGAGCGGAGGCGAUUCUGACGCAGCGGUCACGAGUCUGGCGCCACGUGUACUUGACGGAGCCAUAAACGACGGAGACUCUGUCAGCGUAGACGACAGCAGAUCGAUCGAGGAAGCUGAUUGGAGUAAGAGGAACGUAAUUGGCCGGAGAUUUGAUAGUUCCCUCCAUUUUCUUAGUUUUUUUCGCCGGAAAUGUAGUAGCUUUAGAUUUUUUUGUCGUAUUAUUUAUGAAGCAAAUGGUCUAUUUGAUUUUUGCAAUCAGUCUAUAGUGUGUGUGGGCUCUAAACAGAGACACACCACAUGGCACAUGUAUGUAUUCAUUUUUUUUUUUUUUUUUUUUUGGAAAACACAUUUUACAAAUUGAAUUUACAUAUCUAAUUAAAAACAGUGGCUUUGAAAGGCACUACUACUAUAAAAGAGCUCAAGAAAAAGCCUGAGACUUGGUGAAGAAUGGCGAGACCAUCCAGCAUUUGAGAUUAGUUCAAUGGACAUCAGAUUUGGCAGUCCAGGUUCCUGGACGAGUUGGUCUAUGAUCCAGAAACAGUCAUUAAGCUUCCAGUGUCAGACAUGUAGUGAUAAUUGUAAUUGAUUCUGGUCACCAAAUCUGCCAGAUGAGGGAAGUGUCCCACGUUCAGCUUUGAAGUCAAUACCUGUGAGUUCCAAUAUACACAUUUAUUAAACUGAGGAGACAAGAAAAGAGUACACAGAAUUUUAGAUAAAAUGGAGUGGCCUUACUCUAAGGAGGAAUGCAAUACAGUCCUCAAAUUGUUUCUCAAUGCGGUCUAUCUCCAUUUCACAUCUAGCCUUGAUAGCUGAAACUGCUCCACCGCUGCUCAGCGUCUGUUGUAUUGAGUAGAAUUCUAGAGCUAACCCGAGAAUCAUGUUGAUCCGACUUGCGAUGAUUACCCACUGUAUACAGAACCCACCAGAUACUUAGUUUUUACCCAAAUAUUUAUUAUGCAUAUAAUAAUGGUCCAUUACCAGCUUUUCUUGAACCACAAAACAUUGCCUCUGAAUCGAUAACAAGUACGUCUCAUGUACAUCUAUCACCUCAUCUAGAGACCCUGCUUUUACCAUAGCUUCGCACAGUUCACGCCAUGCAGUGUGAUAUACCUGUUUACAAAAUCCAGUCAGGCCUAAUAAGAUUCAAGCUAUAACAUCAACUUUCAAUUUUGCAAAAACACUUGCACCCACUUAUAACAACGCAAAUUAAUACGGUAAUUAUAACAAUUCAGUAUCAGACAAUACCCUGUCCAUUACGUAUUGAUGAAAAGCAUCCACAAAAUUGAGGAGCUUUUGUUCCAGUAACCAGUGGUGCUUGCGGAUUUUUGUUGCAGAGCCUUUACCCUGUAAUACACAAACACCAAAGUCACUAAGUUUAUCAAACUAAACCUCAUUAUUAUGAUUCCUCUUUACAUUACGUAUAUAUCAAAAAACUAAUCAGGCUAUCUGAGAUUGGAUUUGGAUGUCAAAUGAAGCAGUCUUAAUGGAAAGAAAUGAGUUUGAGAGAUAUCAAAGACCUUCCACAUCCACCUUCGUGCUUUAUCAAGCACAUAUUUUGCUCGUUUGACCUUCAACAAAAAUCCCAUCACCUGUUUUCAUUUAAAUAAUUAACACAUAGAACAACACACUGUUUCCCCACCAAAAUUAGCUGGAUGAGAAAGGCUCACCUGGUUAUACUUCUUAAUGGCCUCACUGUUCGCAAUAAGCUCUAGCGGCCACGGCACCUUAAAAGGAAAUUUGUUAAGAUCUUUAAAUGCCCAUAGCUGUAGCACAUGUAAUAUGCCAGUACGCUGCAAUUGGGUGUAAGACUAAAUGCUUUUCUCUACACCUUGUAUGUGAAUUUGAGAGACUCAAGGCAAUCUAUCCCAAAAUUGUUAACGCGGCUUUUACGAGUUGAAGAACGGGGUUUGACUUCACCCUUGUCAUCUUUGUCUCUGUCCAAAGACCCUUCACUGGAAAUAGAUACCACCAAUGCAUCAGGACUGCUUAACAACAUGGCAUCAGCUGAAUUUCUAAUAGAUUCCUGUAAAUAACCAUUACAAUUUUGAAUUAAGUUUGUUUGUAUGAACACGAUAUACCGCAAUAGAAAACAGGGAUACAUAAGCAAAAAAUAAACAAACAGAAUCUGUUUACUAGAGAUAACUAUAAUGAUGAGAGCAGUGUUUCUAGAAAGAAGUUCACCAAACGUGGUUACCUGAAGGAUUAUGUUCAACUCAAAAUCAUCAUUUGAUGACUCUCCCUUGCUCAGUCUAUCGAAUAUGACAGUCAGAAAAUGCUGCAGAAGGUCCCCUGAAAAAUUUAAAGGAUUUAUUAAAAUUCCAGUUACGAUCCUAUUGCCAAAGAAGUUGAAGCACAUAAAACGUACCUGAACCUAACAAGUAAAUGGCACGCAACACCGCAAGUUCGUGCAUCAAUUUCCAAUCAUUCAUUAGUUUUGACAAAAUCACUUUGCCAAUGUCGUCCACCUACAACACGCACAACUAUCAGAAGGUAAGUAUGCAUGUCGUAGCAACAAGUGGCAAUGCAAAGCUUACAUCACAGUACCUGCCUCCUGAUGUAGAUUGUCAAGCAUUCUUGCAUUAUUACAACAGGAAGUGGAGUAUCCCUUGGCUCUGCCUUAAGCAUCCAGCUGAGAACUCUGGAAGGAAGUGUACUAUUCUUUUGGAAAGGUAGAAAUUCUGACAUAUGGAGCUUCGGCUUUUUUGUUUUGUUUUUGUUGAUCACAAAUAUUUCAAACUAAGCGAUCAGAAACUAUUGCAAAUGGGACAAAAGUGAAGGAAUGGGCAUAAAAUGAUCAGUAUCUAAGUACCUGGAAUGACGGAAGCAAUGUGGGAAAAGGAAAUAACGUUUCUAGAAUUUGGGUGUCAUCCUGAUUAGAAAGAUAUUCAGAUCUACCGAAUUGGAACCCAAAUUUGUAGUUUGUUCCGGUCAAUCCUGUAUCUGCCACGCCAGAUCCCUCAAAAACAGCACUCAACAAACUCUCAUCAUUUAACGAGGGUAGGCAAUAGUUUUGUGAUAAGUUCAAGACAUUCCAUGCAUUCUUAUUCCUCUCAAGAUCCAUUUUAGAUACUGAAACAACAGGGUUUUCAUGACAAAACAACCGCUGCAACACCUUUUCGGCAACGAGAACAUUUUUCUCGUCUUUAACAUGACUAACAUAACAUGGACUCUGGAGUUCUGAUUUGGCGUCUAUAGAUCUUUUCUCUUGCACAGCACCAACCAACAACUUAUACCACAUUCGGUCUGAGUAUGUGAGAGCUGAAAUAUCUCUAUCACCUGUGCCAUCCACUAGCCUUCCACUUAUAUAUAAUGGCAAAGUUGGAGAAAUCUCCCACUCAUCUGUCUCAUCUUUCCACAGGUAUCUAGAUACAUGAUCACCAUGGCCUAUGAGACCAGCAAGUGAUAGACAGAAGAUUUCAGACAAGGCUAAGUCUGCAGUGCUUCUAAAGCUGUUCCUCCCAGCCAGGAGUAUGCCACAAGCCGAAUUCCCAAAAUCAUUUUGCCCAUGGUACUGAAUCUUUCCACACUUUUCUGAAGACGUAGAAGGAAUAUGCCGCAUCAGCUGCAGUGACUUUCCAGCAGAAACAAUCGACUUACAGAUGUCUUUUAUGAAUAGAGGGCAUAACACCCGAUUAUUCUGCUCUUUGUCUUUGUCAGAAACUGAAUUGGAGUCAUUUCCACUCAUUCCUUUCUUUUGAUUUAGCGAAGUUACAUUUGAUUUUGGACCCAGCACCCUCGUCAACAGAUAGCUUUUCUCCCAAAACUCUGCAUCGCUAACGGAGACAGAUUGGUUGGCUGAAAAAAACAACUGCGAAGAAACAAAAGUUAAUCUUCACCUCAACUAAGAAUUUCAUCAUCAUCAAACUUUCAAUUUGCUAGCCUUGUAAAGAAUAUACUUUGAUGUUGGCAUAAAAAAGAUAGAGGAAAAUUGUUGAAAACCCAUGGACCAUAAAUACAACUCCAAGAACACCUACCUCUUCAAAAGGAUCAUCAAGAGUUCCUUCAAAUAACCAUGAAUCCAAACCUUCUACAUAUGGCAAUAAACUUCCAGCAAAUAUUUGCAGCAGCACAUGAAAUCCUUCCACCUGGUCAAAAUAUUUUCAAUAAUCCAAUUAGAGAAGUGAGCAGCAACAAAAGCAAAAAAAAAAAACAUAAAACUCAUGAAAACGGCCACAACCUCACCACCUUGGACAAGGCAUACUUCAUCCAGCCUCUUGUAAAGGUAAUCAAGAACGUGGACAGCAAUUUCAGCGGUUGAAAUAGCUGAAGUCGACUCAAAAUACGCAUGAGGGAUCGCACCUCGUACAACUUGGAAAAGAUAUUCAGCACCUGAACACAGACUAGCAAAAAGAAAGAAGAAAAAAAAAGGUGAAGACUACUAUAAAAUAUAGUUCUUGAACCGAGAAACAGCAUCAUCGAUAUAAAAAUGACUUAGGCUACACACCUAGAUAAAGAAGUAGUUAAUCCCAAGAGAGUUGGAGUGACAGCAACAUUAAAAUCGUUGAUCUUCACUUCCUCAUUCAAAGCAAUAUCUCUGAGUCUCUGUUCGAAUGCCCAAUUGUAUAUCAGUCUCAACAAAACAAAGGUUCAAGAACAAGCCAAAUAAAAAAACACGAAAAGGGAGUUGUGGACUACUUGCCUCAAGCCAACCAGAGACAGAGUUCGAAAAUCCCAUUAAAGUAGGAGGAGAUCUAAGAGAGGUAUUAAUUCCAGCAACAAUAGACUCCACAAGCUUCAAACAUGUUGCGGCAUACAAAAAUCCAGCGAGAAGGACAUGAAGGCUUGGCUGAGACAAAUGAGAGACUCGUAUCUCACUUUUAGCGCGGAAAGUUUGUUCCUUUUGGUCCCAGAAAAUGAAGGGACUUGAGAAACCUUGCAAAGCUUGUAAGAGACCUUUCACCUAAAUCAAACAUGCGGAGAAUAAGGGUUGAAUUGCGUUGACGAUAAGAAACUGAAGAAUAAGUGUUUGCGGCAUUACCAGAUCGGAUUCAUUCACGCUCACUGAAGGAGGAGUUAGUUCUGAGUGUGUCCAAACUCUGCGACUGCACAUCGCUCCUGGAAUUAGGGUUUCUAAGCAAGCGCGAUCAACUCGAAGCAACGACUCGGACAUCACUGUGAAUUUUGGUUUUCCAUAUCCAAUUGUUAGGAGGGAAAUCGAAGAAGCUUUGAUGCGGAUGAAUUUGAGAGAGAGAGUCGGUGAGAGUGUGAGACUGUGAGAGCCAGAGCAAGUGAAAAGGUCUCAAAUGGGCCGAAAUUAUAAAGGCGCAUUUGAAUUUUUAAUCAAAGUAACAACAAAGAGUGUACAUUUGUGUUAAGAUUAUUACGAACGAUCUGAAACAUAAAACCUUUUUUCGUUGGUUAAGGUAAUUUGAUUAUCAAAUGUAAGAUAUCUCAACUCAGUAUUCAAAAUGAACAACGUCUGUAAUAUGAACUUUUGAGUCUCAAAAGAUGUAACUCUCGGAAGUCAAAAAAGCUAAAGUGAAGUUUCUAAAAGACAUGAUCAGAGUUCAAAUGUUAAGAGAAUCUAUGAUGCAAUAAAACUAUAACGAGAGACACAUGUGUUGUUGAGUUGCUUGGUGUCUCUAAGUCGUGAGCAGAAGAUAGACAAGGCCUUUUAGAUAUUCCACUAUUUCAGAUCCUCCGAGCUUCGAAGUUCCAAAAACUCUGUCAACAAAAGUGAUCGGUACCUGCAGAUGAAGAUGAGCACCAGGGAAUCAUGAAUAUGAAUGAAGUAAAGAGAUUACAAGGAAUCAAAAUCACAGUGAAUUGAUAUAAAAAUUGAGACCUCUUCAAUAUGGUAUCCUUUUCUGGUUGCACGAACAAUCAUUUCCAUCUGAAAGACAUACCCUUUACUCACACAUGAGCUAAUCACGUCUUCAAGCACCGAUUUCUUGUAUAGCCUUCCAAACAAAGAGGUGCUGAGGUCAGAAAUGAAACUAUUGAAUGAUGUCAGUAAAAAAGAUGCACGUAGGUUGUUUGAAUUUUACCGGAAUGAUCCUGUUAAAUCCGAUACACCGGGCCAUAAAAGUGUUUGAGCUAGCACAUUUGCUCCUCUACUAGUGAGUUUCCGCAUAAGAUUCCACCCGUGUACACCACCACCUUUUACAUAUCGUGUACCGGUUACUAUACUUGCAUUUGUCUCUAGUUGUUUCCUUCAUGAUAAGAAAAAAAGAGAGUCAAUUGAAGUUACUAUAGCUUGUGAAAUUAGUAAGAGAUCAAGAGACUUUUCUUUUUCUUACUUGAUGAAACUUGGUAAGUAUUUUGGCUGCACAAAAGAAAAGUGACUGGGUUAGCUCAACAAUUAGAGGGGUAAACAAGAAAACUCAAUUGGUGGCUCUUACAUGAUGUGAAAGAUCAGCAUCCAUGAUUACGACGAAAUCACCCGUAGCAUGCUUCAAACCAUGAAUAUAUGCAGUUCCUGAGAUUGGUCAUGCCAAGAAGAUUAAUUCCACUUCUUGUUAAGCAAAACUAGAAGACAAUGUAGAUACAAAUUACAUACCCAGACCAAGCUUCUUGGCUCUAGCUCUUAAAAGCUGCAUCAUAAAAAAACAAAAAAAACAUAAGUUCCCCUAAACAGAAGAACACGCAAUAAUUUACCAAUUAAGGUCCUAAAACGUCAAUUGUACUCACGAUACGGUCUUCACCAUACAAUUGCUGCAGUUGCUUGACAAUUUCCUGUGUGCCAUCAGGACUCCCAUCAUCCACAACAAUUAUCUCAAAAUCAACGUCCCUAAAUCAUACGAAUAAGUGACGAAGCAAAUUCUCAGUAACUUUUAACAGAGAAGAGUCUACUUAACAAGUGCAAUUCUAUUAAAUUUCUAAUAAGCAGCCACAGCCAGAAUCGAUCUGAGAUUAGCACAUCUAGCUUCUGAUCAUUCUCCGAUCACAAAAUCAAAGUUUUUAAAACACCCUGAAACUAAUCCUAUAUAGUUUGAGGGAUCACUACAUUGGCCUUUACUAGCUCAUGCACACAAACAACAAUCACGAAUUAGGAUCUGCAAGCUAGAAACAUGAUCGGAAAAUUUCCGAGAUCCAUAACUUGAAAUUGGCGAUCAGAUUCGAAUUUUAGCAUUCAGUCAAAGAAAAAAAAAACAGAAAGUUCUUCGCGAACCGGAUUAUGGAAUUAGAGAAGAAACGUGAAAAGAUCAAAAGAAAUAAUAUUCAUUUACCGGAGAUGCUUGAAAAUCAGGUAGACUAUGAUAGCGAUGUUGAGGCGCUCGUUGUAUGUAGGAAUGAUUAUGCUAUACUUGUACUUCUUCUCUCCUUUGGGCUCCAUCUGGUCCGCCAUAUCUUCCGGCGAGUUUUCGCAACGGUGGUUCCUUCGUCUGAAAAUCAGCCGUCAUCUGUACAAAAAUAAGGAUUAAAAAUGUCAAAAUAUAGGGACUAAAAAGCAAGUUUCUCAAGUUGGGCUUAAUAUAAUAAACGGGCCUAAUAUAAAGCCCAACAAUAAAUCAGGAAAGCUUUUUAAAGAGGUAAAAUUGUCAAUCGCAUCUGACUCGCUCUCUUUCCUUCCGCCAUUUUUUUCUUUCUAGGUUUCAGAGUUAAAGGAGAAGGUUUUUAAUUAGGGUUUUUGUAGAGAGAGAGAUGAGCCGAAGUUUGGGGAUACCGGUGAAGCUUCUUCACGAGGCCUCAGGUCAUAUCGUGACGGUGGAGCUAAAGAGCGGUGAGCUUUACAGAGGAAGUAUGAUUGAGUGUGAGGAUAACUGGAACUGUCAGCUCGAGGAUAUUACUUACACCGCCAAGGUAUUCAACUGUUACUUCGAAGAUCUCGAUUCAUUUUAUAAGAGAUUGUUUUUUGAUCCAUAGGUUUCGUUUUUAAUUUCAUUGUUUGAUGUUAGUGCUGUUAAACCCUAGAUUUGGUGAGCUGAGAAAUUUUGGAUUGCUUCUUAUUUAGAUUUCUAAGUGGGGAUUAAGUAUCCUUGAAAUUUAUGCUGUAUAAAACCCUAGAAUUGGUGAUCUUGUGAGAGACAUUAGAUAAAUUUGGACUCUUAGGGAAUAGUACUCAGAUUGGUUAAGCUUAUUAUUGAUCUAUAGGACUCAUCAAUUUGUCAACAUACGUGUAUUUCAAAUACAACUUAGUGGCGUCGUUUGUUAAUUGUCACUUAACUUUUCAUUUGGGGUUUUCCAAUGCUGUGUUACAGGAUGGUAAGGUAUCACAGCUUGAGCAUGUCUUCAUUCGAGGCAGCAAAGUCAGGUGCUGUAACUAACACUUCUUUUACUUGUGCUUGUUUCCUUGUUUAUGUAAUUCAUAGGAUCAUUCUUGUAACCCUAACUGAUUAGUAAUUGACUUGCGGAUAUAUCUUGACAGGUUUAUGGUCAUACCAGACAUUCUCAAGCAUGCUCCAAUGUUCAAGCGCUUAGAUGCUAGAAUCAAGGUAUAUAUGCUUUUUGAACCUGGAUGCAGAAUGAAUUAGAGUCUCUAUGUAUAUCUUCUAUAAACAUCAUACCUUAUUUGCUUAAUCAAUGUAGGGAAAGAGCUCAUCACUAGGUGUUGGCAGAGGUAGAGCUGCAAUGCGAGGGAAAGUAAGUUCACUCUCUCUCUCUCUCUCUCUCUCUCUCUCUCUCAUGAUUUAGUGCUCAUAAAAGCAAUUUUAGGAAGUUUUAUGGAACUUAUUAAGCAUAUUGAAAUCCUUACCAGCCUUUAAUGCUUUGUUUCUUCUUCUUUGCCAUUACUAAUGGUUGGAGUCUUGAAUCUUUGUGAUAUUAUCUUAAAGCCGGCUGCCGGGCCCGGGCGUGGAACUGGAGGAAGGGGAGCGGUACCACCUGUGAGGAGAUGAUUGAUUUUACGCUCAACAUGUAAGCUUUGAUUCUGAGACAGUCCUUCUGCGAUAUCCAGGUGAAAGCCGCCUUUCUUGGUUCUGUUAUCUAUGCUUUAGGGUACGCUGUAAAACCAAACAAGAGAGAACAAGAGAGAUAUGUCCAGAUGCACUAGUAGUUCUGUAUUUUGGGGUACCAAGAUGUUUAAAUCAUUGACAAGUUUUCGUUAUGAUCUUUUUUCUUUUUUGCGCAUUCUUCAUUUCUGACAGUAGAUGAGUAAAACAAAGCACAUUGUUUUCAAAAAGGUCUUAGACUAAGAUCAUAACGAAUAUCAUAAAACAAAGUUUAAUUGAAGGAACAAGAUAAUGAAAUACUAGAAGUAGAUGACCAUUGACUAAAUCUCCCCUUUACAAUGUUUGUUCAACUCACUGAAGCUAUUUUCCCAAAUUACAAUCCAAAAAAGUGCCAUGUACCAAAAUGACUUGUAGAAUAUUUGAUACAGUCUAGAGGUUAGUUCCAGAGUACCAAAACGACUUAUAGAUUUGAUUCAGUUUAGAGGUUCAGUUCCUGAGUGAUAUUAACCAAAAUGGGUCAUAGAUUUUCCUGAGUUACAACAAUUCUAUACAUGAAAUUAUUAGGAUCGAUUCACAAUUUGAAUAUAGGAAAACAUGAUAUCAAAAGACUGACUGCAUCUUUUUAUUCUCUCUCAAGUGAAGAAAGAUCUAAAGACCUUAAAAAGAGAAGAACCGAACCAACAACAAUUGUACAUCUCCUAUUUGGGCAACUUGCUCUAUCUCUCUCUCUCUCUCACUCUUUUUCAAAAGAAAAACUCGAGUUAAGUCAUAUUAGAUUCUUAUUAUAGUCUUUUUCCUCCAUUAAAGCAGAAACCCAGCUGGUUCAGUUCUUGCAGCAUGACAGAACUUAGAUGUGUUGUACUUCCUGUGAACUCCUGUGAGCUUCCCUGUUCCUGCCUUGUGAUGGAAAGCAACCAUCUUUCUCGCACAUUCCCUAGAAUAAAACACAAAAAAACCAUUGUCAGAAUUCGAAAAUCUCAUCUGGGGUUUUCAAAGAAAUUCGAAACCAUCAAUGUAUGUUCUUACAGUAGCUGUUCUUCCUUGUAGCCUGUGUGAAACUCACAGGUUUUGCUCCAUUCUUCAAAUCCCUUAAGUGUACACUGAGCAGUGUAGAUUGCCGAGGCCGCAAGCUCAGAUGGAAGAUACUCUAGCAUCUCAUACUCCACAAGGCAAAGCUCGAUCAUAAAGAACGAUAAAACCUCAAGCUGAAACCACAAUUGCAUACCACACAGAUUUUAGAUAUUAGGCCUGAUGGUUCGAACAUAAAGAUUCAAGUUUUUAUUUAUUUAGGGAGAUAUGUACCUUUUUGUCAGAUUGGGCAGCUUUGAGAAAGCGUUUCAUGAAAACAUAUGGAGUUGGUAGAGAGAAAUUGAAUUGCAAGGUGUUGGCCAUUAGCUUCUCCUGCAAUAGAAACCAAAAACAGGUAAAUUCAACAUUGAAGCAUCAUCCUAUGGUAAUUAAUGAUCAAGAGAAAGUUAUGUAUUCACCAUAUCUAGCACUUCUCUUCUAGUGUAAGCUUUGUCAGAGAUCAAGAUGAGAUCAUCUACCACUGGAACUGAAACUUCUUCAUACUUACAUGCAAGCAACAAAGCAGUAACACCAACAAGCUGAAGCUUUUUCCUCAAGAUUUGAUGAACCGCAAGGAAUCUGUCGAUGACAUUGAUUGUGAGAUAAAGAGUUUCUUCCAUCAGCUCAAACUUGUAGUGCACCUACUCGAAAUAAAAUGAUCCAGUCAAUUUAUCUUCAGGCACAUUGAGACAACAACAGUGACAUUAAAUAGCUUUUGUCUGGAUCUGUUUACCUCAAUUAACCAGUCAAUGAGGAUUCCUCUCAUCCUCUCAUUAAGAUCUUGUUGAUUGCCCAUGUAGUUAGGAGGCACACAACUAAGUUUCUACAGAAUCAUAAGAAUGAAUCAAACAUAAGUACAAGAUUUGAAACUAGAAUCCUUUCGAAGAGAAAGAACAAAACAGCAAAAGUUCAUGUAAAGCAAGACAAAGUAACCUCAAAAUUCUUGUAGAAGGUAUGCAUAUCAUGGAUAUAUUCAACCGCAGCCAAAGGAUUCUUUUUAUCACAGGCAUCAAUAUCGAUCACAGGCUCUUCUUCUUUGUCUGCAUCUUCCAUUUCAAUCUCCUUCUCCUUUUGAAAGACACAAACAAUAUGAGUAACUCAAUUAACACUUCUGCACACAAAAAAAACAAAGAAGGGGUUAGUGAAUAUGUAUACCUUCUGGUCAAUCUCCUCCAGCAUUGCUUCAGUGUGUUGAACAAACAUUGGCUCAUUAAAGUCGCCUCCUUCUGUCUCACUAUCAUCCCCAUCAAUGAUAAUCCUCUCUGGUUCUUCGCUUGAAACCGAGUCUGGUUUCUUGGUUUCCUAAGAGUUAAAGAUCAGAAAUUUAAAUCCAGUCUAAUUUCUUAGUUUCCUAUGUCAUCAUUGCUCUAAACGAAACACACACUGAACAGUGUCACAAUAGGGUACCUCCUCACGGAUUUGUGGCUUCUGAUCUGCUAACUGAGCAGCAAACUUCCUGAACCAACAGAGAGUAGAAAAAUCUCAGUAAUCAGACAAUGUGAGAUACUCAAAGUAGACAAGAGUAAAGAUCUAUACUUUACCUAGUAACUGGUCGAUGCACAGGUGGUUUAUUACAAAUGCCAUCCCUUCUGCAUAAUCAGAGAAAGAAAUUGGGUUCCUAAGAGUCAAAUCAAAGGGAGAAAAAAAAAACUAAUCUUGAAUCUGAGGAUUUAAAGUAAACUUACUCAGACAGUGAUCUUUUGUUAACAGCGUAAGGGUAAGACGGCGCUUCAAUGAUGUUCUUGUUAAUAGUGCUUAGUGCUCUUCUGGUCGGUCCUUUUGUUGCCGUCGUCUUGAUCUUUCCUCCUCCGCCUGCACCAAGUAAAUUCGAAAUCAAUUUAGGGGAAAAAUUAAAGACGAAGUUUUGAUUUUUGAUAACAAAAUCGUUUCGAUUUUAGGGUACCUUGGAGAUUCAUUGAUCCGAUUAAUCCAAGGCUAUUUUCAUCUGAUCUAACCAUUUUCUUCUUCUUCGUUAUCUGCGGGGGUUAUUUAUUUCAUUAAAUCUCUCUUGAAAAAUCAAAUUUCAAAAUUGAAACAUCCCCCAACUUAAAAGCAGGGUUUUUUUAAAAUUGAAAUUGAAAAAAAAAAAACUAGUCUUGACAAUCAAAACCCUACAGAUCCGGUUUAGUAAUCUCGAAAAGUCCCAAUCAAGAACAAGACCUAAAUCCCAAAUACCCAGAUAACGAAAACCCACAAAUUUGUUCUUCAAAAAUAUCACCUUUUUACAGUCAAUUCAAAGAACCACCGCAAAAUUAAGUCAACCCUUGUCCCUUGAUCACAGAUUCUUCAGAAACCCAGUGAAUCUCCUAAACCCUAAUAGUCUUUUCCCCGUUGAAUCCAAGUUGAUCAAACAAAGGAGAGAAAGAGAGAUCUUUUAGUAAAACCCAAAGAUUCAACCACGCUCUCUUUCCCUCUAAUGGCUUCGAUAUUGAAGAUCCCUCACUCUCUCUCUCUCUCUAUCUUUCUUCUCUCUCUAUAUAAGGGCAAAGAAAGAAAAAAAAAAGAGUAAUAGAGAUUUUGAAGACAAGAAGAGCGGAUAUAUUGUCUGUAAAUUUUUAUUUUUCUUUAAAAUUAACGGCUAGUUCAUCUCAGCCGUUGGAUUAAAGCCACGUGUUCCUAAUCGAAAGUUGCCUUCUACUCAACGGAUAUCAUUGUUUUUCCUCCAUGUGUGUAACUUAUUCAAAUUCUUUGGGUUUUUUCUUUCUUUUUUUCUAUUUUGGGGAAGACAACUAAUUUUUUUUUUUGAAAAUUAUACUGUUAAUAUACAUUUCUAUAAAAACAAAAAAAAAAUACUUCUAUUUAAAAGAUUGAAAUACGUCUCCUUUGACCAAAUGACGAUGAGUCGUUUUAUAUUAAUCUCAAGUUAAAUGACUUUCUUUUUCAAGCAAGAAAUCUCACACAAAGUUUAGAUCUUCAUGUGUAUCAUUCGAAUAUCAUACUACAUUUUUUAUGGGAAAAAAGAUAUUACAGUUGUUUACAUAAUUAUGGCAUUGAUAUACUGCAUCUUCGACAACUAUAGUCUAUACACUAUUACCAUCCAUCACAUCUAAAUCAAUCAAGCCAUUUUUGUAGAAGUGUGAACAUUGGGUUUCUAUGUAGAACCACAACAAUAACAUUUUGUUUCCAUUGAUAUAGAAACAUUAAACCAAUAUGACAUGUAUAUCUUUUACUCUUUUAGGUUGCUCUUCGUGUGUAUGUAUAUGAUCAUAGUUUCUGAACUUCCUCGUUCUCUCGCAGUUUAUUUUGUUUCUCGUCUUGUACCUUUUGGAGAAAAAGAUUGAAUCAAUGGCUGGAAAGCCACUUUUGGAGAAAAAAAAACCUGGAAUGCCACCCUUCUUUUUUUGUUUUAUCAGAUGAAUUAAAUUUAAAGAGAUUUAAAUCCAUAAUUAUGAAAAGACGAAAAAACCAAAGCAAAUAUCCAACGUUAUAACCGUUUCGAUUAAUCCGAUCCAAGCCCAACAGAGUAACUGAUUAUUUCGAUCGAAAGCCCAUCCGACCAAGCCCAUGAGAGAGAUAACCAAAAAAACGAAACCUUUUCGUUUUUUCUCGAAAAAACCAUAACUUCUCCAAUUUCACUUCUUCUCCGAUUUCAUUCCGAUAAUCCUUCGAAAUCUUCGAUAUUUUCUCCUAUUUCUUCGAUUUCUUCUCGCUUCUCUUCGUCUCAGUCGAGUUUCGCAGUGAAUCGCACCGCCCUUUUCCAAAGCCAUUGAAAAUCUGAGAAAUUUUGGAAUGGCUCGUGUUAGAAACGCCGAAGGUGAAUAUGAAUCUACGGCGGCGCGUCCGAGAGAGCCAGUGGAUUCAAGUACCAUGGUCGAGCCUACAGAAGAAACCGGAGAGCAGAGAGAACCAGGGGAUGCUGAACCUGGAAGUGAAACCGUCGGGAUGCAAAUUGAUCUGAUAGAAGAUGCAGCAAUUGAUGCUUCCGAGAGCCAACCUGCAAAAGAAACCGUCGAGUUGGAAAGAGUAACGACAGAAGGAGAGACCGAGGAUUCCGAUAGUCAACCUGCAAAUGAGAGUCUGAUAGAACCUACAAUUGCUCAGGUAUAUACAUUAGUUUGAGAAUGGAUUAAUGGUAUUCAAGGUACAACUAGUUCAACUAGUGAAUUAGGUUGUCUUUGAAUAUGAGUAUAUAUAAUUUUGAUGCUAGUUCUUGGUAUAAUUGAAGCGGAGAAUAUAUAGGUUUGAAUUUAUGUGUCUUGAUACAACUAGUUCAACUUAUCCCGAUUAUAUACUUGUUUGAAUUGUGUGUUUUGAGACAAGUAGUUCAACAACUUAAACUCAACGAUUAUGUUUUGAAUAUGCAGGAUACAUAUGAGGAAGAGGAUGAUGUUGCUGGUAAUGCUAGUGAAGAGGAUGAGCAUGGUGAUGUUGGUACUGGUAAAGAUGAUAUAGAGGCUGAAGAGGAUGUUGGUAUAGAGGAGGAGGCUGCUGCUAAAGAUGGUAUAGAGGAGGAGGUUGCUGAAGCUAGUAAGGACGUUGCUGGUAUAACAGCUGAUGAUGAUUAUGAUAAUGAUGAUGAUGAAGAUGAUUCCCAGCCACUUCCGCCAGAGAAGAUGUGCUUAGAUAGUUCAGAAUACACCAAAGGGUGUAAAAUAGGAACUAGGUGUAAAGUGACUGAGACAGUGAACUUGAUAGAGAAAGAGUUUAAAGACGAGGCAAUAUGGUUCAGAAGUCACUCUCAGUUCAAGCAUGUAUUCCACAUGCCUAGGGAGCCAAACCACAUGACUCAAGGCAUGUGGAUGCUUAUGCUGCGCACAGUUGACACAGAUCUUGAGAGGGAGUGUUGGUUUGUGGUUAAUGGAGUACCUAUUAGGUAUUCCAUCAAAGAGCAUGCGUUGCUAACUGGGUUUAAUUGCAAGGAAUACCCGGAGAAGCAUGAGGAAAUGGGGAAUUUGAGGUUUGUGAAGAGAAUCUUCAAAAGGACUGAGAAGAUAAAGGCAUCUGAUGUAUUAGCUAAGUUGAAGGGAAAGAAGAGUUGGAAAGGAGCUGAUAAGAAGAAGUUAGUAGUCUUGUAUUUCUUAUGCAAGAUACUAAAAGCAAGCUCAAAAAGUGAUGGAAACAUAGAAUCCUUUCUCUUAAGGAUUGUUGAUGAUUUGGAUGCAUGUGAGACAUAUCCAUGGGGCAGGUAUUCAUUCUCAGAAUGUAUGAAAGGGAUCCGGAAUAUGAUGAAGAAUUUGAAUGGGUCUGUCAAACCUAAAGCUCAACCUAGCUUUAGUGGAUUCAUUAUACCUUUGGAGGUAAUCCUUUGUUUUUGAUGUCUGAGUAUUUGAAGUUGUAUAUAUUGUUUUAUGAUAUUAACUGUGUGUGUUUUUUUGUAGAUUCUGGCUUAUGAGGCUAUUCCACAUCUUGGACUGAAAUAUAGAGUACCUGUACGUGCAGCAAAUGACUGUCCAAGGAUGUGCAAGCACAAGUUUAAAGAAUCUGCCAUGAAAGGUAUCCCUUUGGAAGAAAUAUAUCAAGAGCUUGGGACUAGCAAGGUUAGAGUUUCUGUCUUCAUUUGAUUAUUUGGUUUGUGUCAUGUAUUUGACAAAGAGUCUAAGUUAAAUGUAUGUGUGUGUAUGCACAGGAUAUUGACAGCAUAUUGGUACCAGACCAAUAUGAAAAAUCUCUGUUGGCUGGAAUCAUUGAAGAUAAUGUUGAUGAUGGCCUAGGGCAGAUUGAUAUCAUUGUUGACAGUUGGAGAGAGCGUCUAGUAGAAAAGAAGAAAAAGAUAUGGUGGGAAGGAAUGUACCAGCUGGACCAGGCGUCCCGAGAGAUUGGUAAUAAGUUUCUUGAGAAUGAAGACCCUGAGCAACAAGCCCCUGAGCAAGAAGUCCCUGAGAAAGAGAGUUCUGAUAUUGCUAAAGUUGUUGCAUCUCUUGCCUCACUAACAGAGGUGGUGAACAAUGGCUUUCAUGCCAUUGAGGAGAAGUUUAGGGAUAUGGAGAUUAGAGUGAAGACUCUUGAAGUGUCUGUGGCAGCUCAGGGAUAUCAUAGUCCGGUGUUUCCGCCAUAUGGGUCGCCUCUGGAAACACAAUAUGGGACAAGAACUGAUUUUGAGGGUGGGCAGAUGAGUCAAACCAUGGAAUUGGUUUUGUAUAAUCCCAUUUCUCCAACUGUUCCAGAACAAGGUGAGUGUAGAAGUUUCUUGGUUAUUUAUUGAACUCUUAAAGUGGACUAAUAAACUGUUUUCUUUGUACAUUGUAUGAAGGUGAUGAGGAGGAGGAAAAGAAUGAGGAGGAGAAAAAGAAUGAGGAAGAGAUGAAAGGAAAAGAGAAGAAGAAGGGCAAGAAGACAAAGAGGAUGUUGCAGCAAGAGGGUGGACCUGUAAUAGCAACCGGACAAAAGCGAACAAGGGCAGCUUCCCAACAUAUUAAGACACCAUUUGUGGAAGUGCAGCCGAAGAGAAGGAGAAAGAAGUAAGAACUAUGGUUGAUGUGUGCUGGUGGUAUAGGAAAAAACUAAAAAAUCUUUUGGACAUGAUUAUUUGUGUUUUGAACAAGUAGGAACUAUUGUUGAUGUUAUUUUGGUUGUACCUGGAGUUAGUACUUGUUAUUUUGGUUAAUUUUAGAUUUCCUACUUUUGGGUACAACUGUGUUCAGUCGGUACAACUGGUGAAGGCAGUACAACUGGUCAAGUCGGUACAACUUCGUGGUACAACUAUGUCAAAGCAAAGGCAACUUUUGAAAUAAAAUUGGUCAAAUACAUGUUAAACAUUUAGAAAUAAAACUAGGUCAAAUACUUGUGGUACAACUUUUAGAAAUAAAACUAGGUCAAAUAUUUGACAUUUACAACUAGACGGUACAACUGGUCAAGACGGUACAACUUUGUGGUACAACUAUGUCAAAGCAAAGGCAUAAAUACUUGUUAAACAUUUAGAAAUAAAACUAGGUUACUAGUUCAAACUUAAGAAACUAAUAGGAAAUAAAGGAGAUUAGUCUACAUAGGGUUAUUACAAACAUAAGAAGUCUACAAAGAUUUCUUAGAGGAAUACAUAAAUACAUAAGUGGUUAUUACUACCACUUAGAUAGCAACUCCUUCAGCCUACCAAUCUCAGUUUCUUUCUCCUCCAAACGCUUCUGAAGAUCAUCGACUUGAGCACGCAUAAUUCGAACAGACUCGCGAAGGGACUCCAACAUAGGAUUUUGGUAAGCGUGGUGGAUUGAUUCUUUCUGGGUUUCAAAUUUGUUAUGGACGACAGUAAACUCCUCAUUAACCGCAUCAUCCCACCACUUUUGAAGGUGUUCUCCACCAUCCUAAGCAUAAGCAUCAUUCAUCAAUCAUAAGAAAAACGAAUUCAUCAUCAACAAUACAAAAAAAUUCAUCAUACCUCAAAAUUUGGACAUUUGUAUUCCUUUCUUCCUUGAUUAUUGCCAGUGGUACACACAACAAGCUUAACGUAGGUUCCACAGAAACAAUAUCUCGGAAUACCCCAAUUACCGUCAGCUCUUGCCCAACUCAUAUCCUCACUCGGCUCCGAUUCGGAGCUUUGAGUAUAACUGAUUGGCAUUCUCACUGCAACUCCUCAAGAAGAAUCAGAAAUUUAAAAACCAUAGAUAUAAAUCCGAAUCUAGGAUAUACAAAUCAAAAACGGAGAACCCCAAAUAAGAAAACCGUAGAUCCAAAUCCGAAUCUACAAACCCAAACCCAAUCAAAAACGGAGAACCCCAAAUAAGAAAACCCUAGAUCCAAAUCCGAAUCGACAAACCCAAACCCUAGAUCUAGGAAUUAGAAAGCACCAACCUUGAGAGAUAGGAGUCGUUCGCCGAAAUCUCUCCUCUCGCCGUCGGGAUCUCCGCUCUCGCUCGCCGGAAUUUUACUUCUCUACUUUUUUGGGUUUCGCAAAUGAGAGAGAGAGAAACUAGGUAAGAGAGGGAGACAGAGCUUAUAAUAAAACCCUAGAUCUAUCGAUCUAUCUUCCUUUUCCUUUUAAAAGAAUAUCUAAAAACAAAAAAUACUUUUUAAAAUAAACAAAAAAUACUUUUUAAAAUAAACAGUUGUACUUUGGCGGCUGUACUUGUUUAAUAGUAUUAAAUAUGAGGGACCCAUGACUGAAUAUACUCAUAGUUGUCCAGUUGUACUAGGAGCAACAUAGUUGGACUUUUAACACUUUUUCUUGUUUUCAGUUGGACUAGUAUUUAAAUAACUAAUUAUAAGUUGGACAAAUGAUUAUUCUUAAUUAUUUGGCAUAUCCAAGGGUUACAUAAUAUUAUAUUUACCAAAUCAUUUGUCCAACUUCUUUCACUAUGAUUUAGGUUAUCUUAUAGCAAGUAUCCCUUAUACUAUAAGGGGUUGUUUGUGUGAGAACAUCAUUUUCCAUAGAUUUUUUUAAAAGUUGUAUUCAAAUGUUUAAAUUUUCUUUAAAAGUUAAUUCUAUUAUGAUUAUAUUAUAGAAUUAUUAUUUUAUUUCUUUUUUUUUUAAAAUAUGUUGUUUUAUAAUACUAUCGUAGCUGUACAAGUUGAACCAGUUGAAUAGUUAAAGCUAAACUUAUGGACGCAUACUUGUAAUAGUUGAACUCAGUAUAUAAACGAAUAGAAAUACAACUUAAAACAAACAGACAUGUUCUUAGCUUAACUCAGUUGAACCAGCUGAAUUGUUAAUGCACAAACGAGACACAGACAUGUUCUUAGUUGAACCCAGUUGAACCAGCUGAAUUGUUAAUGCACAUGCGAGAAAUACAAGUAAAACACAGAAACUCAAGUUAACCAUUCUCAUCAUUGGGAGGGGGCUGCAACCAACUCUCCAAGUUAAUGCCAGGCUGUGCCUUGUUUUGGGUCCUCUUUCGUCGCUUUUCCCCGGUGGAUGGAAACCGGGUUUCUUGAUUUCUACCUUUCUUUGGUUUGUAAUCCGGCGGUUUUGCGAUCUUCUCCUCGUAGUCAGCUGGGAAAGUCCAUUGAGACUCAUGCGGCACAACGUAAAUCGUUUUGUAAUAUGCCAAUGCCCACGUCUCGAUCAAGUAAUAUUUCGAACAAAGACCAUAUAUGCUUACUUCCGUGGUUCUCCAUUCAUUCCGACAAUGCUUAAUGGCUGCGGCUAUACCAUGGAUGCAAGGGUACUUGUCUAUAUCAAAACACCUACAAGUACAAGAUUUCAUAUCCAAGUCCACCAAAUAUGUUAAACCAUCAACUCCAAUUACGCUAUAUUCGCGUCGGUAGCUGUUAAGCUCAGUGACCGUCAACUUCGCAGCUAUAGGACAUCGGAUAUGUAAUAUAUUCUCCACAACAGGCACCACCUGCGUCGUGUUCGAUGCAUUGGCAGAAUCUUUUCGAUGUUUGUUGAACCAUUCGGAAAACUUCUCCAAUAUCGCAUCAAUCAUCGGUAAUAGAUGGUACUUCCUUACUUCCUUAAACACAGCAUUCAUUGACUCUGCGGAGUUGCUAGUAUCUAUGUUGUACUUGUCUCCCUCAGCAUGACUCCUAGCCCAUUGUUCAACCCCAAUAGAAUUAUCUAGAUAUUCAGCAGCUCUAGGAUACCUUCUCCUAAAAUCACCAUACUGAAUGUUGAACUCGGUCUUAGUAUAUACAUGAGCGCAUUCCUUGAAUUUAUCAACACCUACGUCCUUGUCCCCAGUCAACUUUGGCCUAAGGUUUUGGGACAAAUGCCAUAUACAAUGACCAUGUGAUGCGUUUGGAAACACGUCCAUCACUCCCUUGAUGAUGCUUUGAUGUCUAUCGCUUAUGAAAACCAAACCAUCUUCAUCCGGUACUACCUUUCUCAACAUUCUAAAAAACCAAUUCCAACUAGCAUGAUUCUCACUAUCAAUUACACCAAACGCAAUGGGGUAAUGGUGACGAUUAGGAUCCUGAGCUGUUGCAAUAACUAACAUCCCACCAUAUACAGUUUUCAGAAAAGUUGCAUCAAUCACUAACACUUUCCUCAUUGCCUUAAACCCUUCAAUGCUUGCUCCUAAAGCGAUAAAUAAGUACUUGAACCUCUCUUCUGCAUCCAAUUCCACUUCCGUUACUGUCCCAGGAUUCACCUCUCUCAACAUGUGGAGAUAAGCAUACAACAUCGUGUAGCAAACUUCAGGGUUCCCACGCAUAUCACUAACAUGUUGUUUUUUCCCUCUCAAGGCGGUGGAGUAUGAACAAUCCAAACCAAGUCUUCCUUUAACAAGAGUCAUGAUGGUUUUAGGAUCCGGUGUUUUCAAUUGACCACGGAAGUCCUCAUGCAAAACACUUGCUACUAAUCGUGGUGUGCCUUUUUGUUUAAAAUAUCUAGUACUCUCCUCACACCUAGAGCAUGUAUGCAUGUUUUUGUGAACUCUUACACUCCAAAAAUCUGAUUUCUUUAUUCUAGCAACUCUUAAAUACCAUUCACAACCCAUGGAAGCUUGACUGCAUUCAAUCAUAAGUCGCACCGGGUCCGACUUCACACAUCUCACACCAAACAACUCGGCCUUUGCAGCUCUAUUAACCAAAUCCCAUACAGCCUCCUUAGAAGGAAAUUCUUGAUCUUUUUCCAAAACCAUACCAUCUUCCCAUUCUUUAACUGUUUCCUCACUUGGUUGUACAGGCCGUGAAAGCUCAACAUAUUCAUGCCUAACAUCAUUCUCACAAUCUUCAUUUACACCAUUCUCUAUCAUGAGCUAUUCAAUAAUCGGUUCAUUACCUAUAGCAGGCUCUUUCUCUUGUUCUGAUCCUUCCCCCCAUCUAAAAGUACUCAAGUUUCCUUGAUUAUUUACAUCAUCAGUCCUUACAUCAUCAGUCCUUACAUCAUUGGCAGCCACUUCCCCAUAAUUCAAACCGCAUGAACUUCUUCUCUCUACUCUUGGUACUAGCUCUACCAUCUGAUUACUUUCAAGAUUGCAUAACUCCACAUGCAAAAUUGGUCUAAAUCCCUCUUUAUCCAAUGAUGUUAAGAAUAUACAAACAUCCUCAUCAUCUAAAAUAUAAGACUCUCUCCUUCCUUUACAUAUCAUGUAACUCAAUUUCAUCUUCCUUCUCGCUCCGUCUAUAGCAAUCUUCUUACAGAUCUUAUCUACCAACACUGGAUAUGUUAUUCUCUCCAAAGAUGUUGUCUUAAACAUUAUAGCAUAUAGUGAAUUGUUGCAAUUCCACUCAUGCUCUUCUGAAUAGUACCCUCCAUAGUCAAAAUAUAUGUUUGUCUGGAUCUUCUUCUUCAUCGCACUGCAGAUAGAACAAAAUAAAUCACUAAUUUCGAUACAGCACUUGUAACAGGCAGUGUUCUAAAAAGCGGUCUAGGCGGUCGCCUAGGCCCCGACUAGGCGCUAGGCUCUCAUGCGACGCCUAGAUAACCGUCUUGACCGCCUAAAGUUACAUAGAUCUUGUUUAAUGUAUUUUUUUCAAUUUUAAUUAGAGUUUUAUUUAUAUAUAUAGUUAUACAUAUUUAUAUAUUGUUUAAUAUAAAUAUAAAUAAAUGUUUUAUCUAGUUUUGUUUAUAAUUUCAUAAUUUUUAGUUUUAUAUAGACAUUUUAUAUAACUUUUAUAUAUAAUAUCAUAUUUAUAAUAUUUUAUGUUAUAAACGUCUAAACCGCCUAAAAAAUCGCCUAGGCCCCGAUUAGACGUUCUAGGCGCUAGGCACUGGGUCACCGCCCGCUUAGCGCCUAGCGCUUUCUUGAACACUGGUAACAGGUAUACCAAUUGUACCAGUCGAACUACACUAUCAUAUAUGUACCAGUUGUAUUAUUCAAUUUCAGUUGUACCAUUACCUUCUGCAACAAACGAUACAAAGGAGGAGCUACAUUCUAAUUUCCCUCAGAUUCAACACGAUUGAACUCAUAAAUCCUACUAUCUAGAGAUUUCUACAUUACACCUACCAUUGCCAAACUCUACCAUUGCAAAUCAAAAUACUCUUCUAAGAACUUACUUGCUUCAAUCGAGAUCCAAGAAUGGAGGGGAAGAAAGAAGACGCUGCGACGGAGGAGGCGACAGCCGGCGAAAUGGAUGACUUAACCAAAACAGAGGAGGAGCGUUUCGGGAGUAGACGAGCUGCAAAUCUGUCGACCUCUCGAUCUUUCGAUCCAACAAUGGCGGAGAUAAGUAAAGCUGUUGCGCCGGAAAUGUCAGUCACUCUCUCGAGCUCUCAGCUCCGGGGAGAAUCUUCAACAAUGUCGGGGGAAGGGAAGACACAGAUUCGAGAUUGGAUCGAGAAUUCAUUUCUCGAUUUCAAUUAUUUUUUAUUUUUUCUUUCUUUUUCAAUUCAUUAAGGGUAAAGGAGUAUUAUCCUAUUGAGAGGUGGCAUUGAGACUCUAAAAUGGCAGUCGUGAUUAACAUUUCCGGUUCAGUGGCAAACUAGCCUGUGUCUCGAUAUAUUGUCUGUAAAUUUUUAUUUUUCUUUAAAAUUAACGGCUAGUUCAUCUCAGCCGUUGGAUUAAAGCCACGUGUUCCUAAUCGAAAGUUGCCUUCUACUCAACGGAUAUCAUUGUUUUUCCUCCAUGUGUGUAACUUAUUCAAAUUCUUUGGGUUUUUUCUUUCUUUUUUUCUAUUUUGGGGAAGACAACUAAUUUUUUUUUUUGAAAAUUAUACUGUUAAUAUACAUUUCUAUAAAAACAAAAAAAAAAUACUUCUAUUUAAAAGAUUGAAAUACGUCUCCUUUGACCAAAUGACGAUGAGUCGUUUUAUAUUAAUCUCAAGUUAAAUGACUUUCUUUUUCAAGCAAGAAAUCUCACACAAAGUUUAGAUCUUCAUGUGUAUCAUUCGAAUAUCAUACUACAUUUUUUAUGGGAAAAAAGAUAUUACAGUUGUUUACAUAAUUAUGGCAUUGAUAUACUGCAUCUUCGACAACUAUAGUCUAUACACUAUUACCAUCCAUCACAUCUAAAUCAAUCAAGCCAUUUUUGUAGAAGUGUGAACAUUGGGUUUCUAUGUAGAACCACAACAAUAACAUUUUGUUUCCAUUGAUAUAGAAACAUUAAACCAAUAUGACAUGUAUAUCUUUUACUCUUUUAGGUUGCUCUUCGUGUGUAUGUAUAUGAUCAUAGUUUCUGAACUUCCUCGUUCUCUCGCAGUUUAUUUUGUUUCUCGUCUUGUACCUACGAUUUCUUUCACAGAUUAAGAGUCCUAAAGUUCCAAUGAAGGUUGAAUGUUUGUCCCAUAUAACCAACUUGAUCACAAAUGUUAACAGUUUGUUCACAAUGCCAAGAACGGUAAGCAAGAGAUGGCAAAAACACUGCUAAACUGUAGCAAUCAGGCUUAUCACUUAUGUCAUGCCUUAGUUUGUGUAACUCUCCCAUUAUGAGCAACUCAAAGUGGGAAUCACCGGUCGUGCUAUUCACUGCAACGAAUAAGCCUCAAUGUUUAACCCGAUUUUCGUAACCACGUGCUUGAUGUAGUCAUGUAGACAAGAUCAAUAGACAUACUCACAAGAUACGCUAUAGCCCAGUUAUAUGCUGUGACUGUAAACUGGUAAUCAGCUUCCUCCUAAAAUGAUAUCAAGAGAGAUCCAUGUUUUAAGAGAUGGCCAAGGCUUGUUUAAGCCGUACGCGAUCUAGAAUCAUCAUCCAAUGGAUGGAAAACAGAACAAAAGGGAGGUCAGGUCAUUCUAGCGAUGCAAUUACGAAUAUCAGAAUCAGAUUCAAAAUCGAUUCGAAACCAAAUCUGUUGAGAGAAAACGACGAAGAAAGCAAAAUUCCAAUCAUUUUAUCCGAAGCAAAAAUCGAUUUCAAACCAAAAUUUACUGAAUCAUGACGACGAAUAAAUCAAAAUAGAUUUCCAACCAUCUCUACUGAUAGAAGCGAUUCACGACGAAUUAGAAUGAAAAUUUCCAAUCAUGCAUCGACAAACAGUACAAAGCAAACUUGAUUUUGAGAAAAACAAACCUGAGACUCAGAGGAAUCGUAAUCGGAGAGACGAAGAAGCUGGUGAGAGAGCGAAAUGGGGCUUAAAUCGGCAGACAUUGGAUCUGAUCGGAGGAAUGGGAGAAAUAAGAACUGUGUCAUCAUCUUUUAGAAUUAACUUUCAAAUUUUCAAUUGCAGAUAACCUUUUCCAUUUUCGGCUUUCUGUUUUUUUUUUUUUUUCUUUUCUUUUUCUAAUGCAGAAGCCUGUUAACAGGUCGGCCCAAUACAUACCAUCAAACUAAAGCCCAUUAGGCUUGCGGCACAAAAAUGUACUGGACUUUUGUAACAAACAACUAGAUUUUAACCCGCGGUACACCGUGGGAUGAUUUAAUUUUAAAGUUAGUAUAAAAAUAUUUUGUAAAUUGUAUCUCCUUAUAACAUAUUUAUUUAUAUUAUAGUUUACAAUUGUUAUUAAGUAACGGUAUACCACGAGUCCACGAGAUAAUUAUUAAUAAACUGAGGAUUUAACCCGUAUUAAAGCGGUUUAUAAAUAUUGAUUCAAAUUCGUCCGCCAUAUAAAUCAUUUCCGAAAUAUAACUCGUUCCGUAAUUUCUUAACCCGUCAUGUGAUUUGUAUUAAAAAAAAUAAGGAUUAAAUCCGUAUUGAAGCGGCGGAUUAAUGAUAUUUUAAUCUUUUUAUUAUUGCUGAUACAAAAACCCGUCCCGCCAAACCCAUCCCGCCAAAAAACUCAUUUAUUUUAUUAAUGUUCUUAUUUAUGAUAUGAUUCUGAAUCAUUGUCUAAAUAUUUUAAUCGAUGUAGAACGUUGAACACACAUUUUCGUCAAUUGGAUAUUAUAUGUCCGUUUUUAAAAUUUCGAAUCACAGUAUAUGCAGAAAAAAAAUGAUUUUUUUUUUCUACUUUAUGUAUUAUAUGAUUAUUCAAAACAGUUAAAAACAAAUGAAACAAAGAUGAUAGGAGAAUCAUAAUUAUAAAUCUUAAUCAAAUCUUCUAAAAAUCUAAAUUAUUAAAUAUGGAAUAUUCGGUGUAUGAGUUGGGUUAAAUAUAACCUGACCCAACAAAUUUUUUGUGAAGAAAUUUUUAAAAUGGGUCGGAUAUCUGAUAUACCCGAAAGUUUUUUACCCACCCGUCACAAAAAGUGCUGCGAUUAUACUAGUAUAGAUGUUUAGUAGAUUUGCAUUAAAUGAUUAGAAUUUAAUUGAUAUAUUUUAAAUCUACAUAUACAUUUUUACAGGGGAUUUUUGCAAAAAGUCUUUUGGAUCCGGGUUUUACCCGGGUUUAACUCUAUUCGGAUCUAGAAUAAGAAAUUUAAGGAAGUUUGUAAUAAAAACGACAUUAAUUCUUAAUUAACACCUAAAUUAGAAAUAUAUAUAAUAUAUCUAAACUAACCAUAUUUGUUAUUUACCUUAACUACUUCUAACCAUAAUUAUUUAACUAUUUAUUUCUAUAUAGAAAGAAUAUGUGAUUAAAAUAAAUAUUUUGUAAAAGAUUGAUUUGGGGAAAAAUUGUUAUUACGAAAAUAAUUUGUUUUGUUAUAAAAAUUAAUAUUUGUUAUUUGUAAUUAAAUUACAUAAAUAGUAAUAAUAAUUUGUCUACACCAUCAAAUGAAAAUAGUUAGUUAUUUAUUUUUUUAUUUAAUAUUACGUCAUUUUUAAAAAAUAAAUUCAACAAUAUAAUGUCAAUGAGUUUAAUUCUAAAGAUUUGAAAAUAUUAAAAAGAUACUAACCAAACAUUAUCUAUCCUAAUUUGUUUCUAACAAUUUCGACACAAAUCUUUCGAAAAUUUAAUGUGAUCACAGUUUGUUACUAAAAUCUCGAUUAUAUGCCUAAAAUCUCGAGAAGAUCUUCCUUUAAAUCCGCAAAUUAUAAUUUUUGAAUUAAAUAAACUAACAAUACGAAUAUUCCUAAUAUAUUCGAGUACUAAUAAUCCUUAUUAUAGUAUAUUCUUUAUCUAAAUACUAAAUCUUUUAUUUUUAAUUCUAAUCAAAAUUUAUGAAAUCGGAAAUCAAUCAUGAUUUCUUAAACAUCCUUAAAUUUCGAAAUAAUCAACAAUUCGAAUAUGCUGAAAAAUCAUAACGAAAUAUCUUUAUUUACUUAAAUGUUUUAGUAAUCGUUAUAGCAAAAAAAUCAAUUCCAGCGCUAUUGGUUCUUUAAACUUUUUGAUUUACAUAAAUAUUUUGUAUUCCAUAAUUAACUCAUUAAAUUCUUUGAUUUAAAUAACUACAAUGUGAAAAUUAGUAUAUGUAAUAAAUAUAACAUAUAAUAUUUACGAGAUUUUCAUAUACUUGAUCCCCAACCCAAAUUGGCGAAUAUAUUAUUUCUCAUAAAAUAUCUUUAAAAGAUUUUUUUUUGUUUCGUUUAGAUAUUAUUCAACAAACUUUCUAAAACAAAUGGAAAUAUCUUUAAUUAGCUUUCCUCAUUCAUAAAUCCCACCAUGCAUAUAGACGUUAUUCAGUUGAUAAUACAAAAUCAAAUAUAUUAGGAAUCAAAUAUUUAAUUUUCAAAUAUUUGCAAAAUUGUUUUAAUUUUUAGAUCAAACCUAAACUUCUCGAGUACUUUUCAUUCAUCUAUAUAAAAAAGAUCUUUUCAACCAUUGAUCCACAAUACUAAACGUUUUCGUAAUAGAGAUUUAUAUAGCUUCUUUUAAACAAUGUUCUUAGUACAUUUUAUAUUUCACGUUUGUUUUCUUUUAAAAAAUUAAUUGUCACCUACUUUUCUUAUGUUGCAGCUUUCGAUUUUAAGAUCUUUGGAAAUUAUGGACAUCAUCAACUCCGUUUCCAAAGAAACUAUCAAAUAAGGUAUGCAUUAAAAGGUUAGUUAGUCCUUCUUCUUAUCUUCAGAUACAAAUUUUUUUUAAUGUCCAGUAUUUUUUUACAUUUUCAUAAUUUCAUGUUUCCUCAUAAUGUUUGUAAAUGAUUUUCUUUUAUAGGCUAACAUAACAAGUCCAUUCUAUUAAAAUCAUUUUCUUUAACGUAAAAAGGAAAUGAAUUUGUUAAUAAAAUAAAGUUCUUAUUCUUAAUUUUCAUUAUUCUAAUGUUAUGUAUUUUAAUUGUUUUUAUGAUAUAUACUUUUACUAAAACCUGUGGAUCCGAGUUUUGGUUGGUAAGUGUAAUUUUUCUAAUCUUUUAAAACCUUUUACAACAAUUACAUGUUUUAUAUGGUUAACAAUCACAUCAUAUAUAUUUUAUUUUCUUAUCCAAUGUAUUUCAUGUUUAAUGUUUUCUAAUAUUUUUUAUUGAAACUUUUAAAUAGUUUCAAAUUAUUAUAAACAUUUAAACUUUAUUAAAAGUAAAAUAUUAUAAUUAUUUAAACAUUUAAAAAGUUUAUUUUUAUAAAACGUUUUAAAUAUUUAUAAUAUUAGGAAUUUUAUAAAGUUUCAAAUAUUAAAUAGUUGAAUUUUAUAAUAAUUUAUAAGAAAUUUAAACAUUAUAAAUAUUUACAAAAGAUAUUAAUACGGGACGGUAUAUUACGGGUGAAAUCCUAGAUAUAACAAUCAAAAUACUAUUAUGAAUUUUGGGUCGAUAUUAAAUGAAGUUUCGAAUAUUAGAAAUAUUUGAAUUUUAUUGGAAAAUGACAAAAUGAUGUAGAUUUCACGGGACAGAGUUAUAUGGUCGGACGGAUUUGGGGUCGAUAUUAAUACAGGUGAAAUCCUAUAAUUAACAAUCAAAAUAUAACUAUACAAUCUUAAACACUAAACAAAACUAAACAAAUAAUAUUAACAAAACAAAUAAAACUUCAAAUUUUAAAUCUUUAGUUAUAAAAUAUCGUGUGUACCAUACAUUUAAAUCAAACAAAAUAAUAGCAUAUAUCUAUAGAUCAUCUUAAAAAAAAAUUAAUUUUAUUAUUAUUUAAUAAAAUUAUAGACCCGCGGUGUACCGCGGGUUAAUAUCUAGUCUGUAGUAAAGAAACAAAACAAAACUUUAUACCCACUGUUAUGUACAUUCAAAUUCAAUAUCAUAUGAUUUUGAACUCUGCCUCAUAAAGUUGUUAGUUGGUUAUAACUUUAGAGCAUCUAGGUCAGCAUAAAAAAUGGAGGUCAUACCACAACAAAUUUAAAUCCGUCCGACUAAUUUCAUGAGUGAGUCGGUCUGACCGAAGUUAUAUAUAUUUUGAGAUUUUAAACAAACUACAAAAAAUAAAAUAAAAAUCAAAAACAUCACUAAGAAAUUUGUUAAAUUAAACCAUUAUUAGUAUCAUGAGAUUCAUAGAAUAAUUUACAGGAAAAUGAUCCUAUCAGACGGGGAGAGACCCGGAGGACUGAUACGGAGGCGCUUGUGACUCCAACACCAGCACAGUGGAAGCCGUAUUACUAUACAUGCGGUGAGACGGGUCAUUAUCCGAGGUGGUGUCGUUUCUACCGCCCAUACGGGAAUCCGAUGAUCCGAUGUACAUUAUGUUUUGAGAUUGGGCACUACGCUAGUUCAUGCCCAAUUGUCAUAGGUAGAAUAAUAUACUAACAUACUUAUAUAUUUUAAAUUAUUAUGAACUUAACGCUAUCAUAUAUAGUAGUAGAUUAAAUUUUAGUCAGGUCCCCAUCUGAGUAGAAAACGGGGUACCAUAAGAUUCGACUGCCAGAAAUCUUUGUCUUUUCUCUUUGAUUUUUCAACUCCAUUGACAAAAUUCGAUAUCCAAAGAACAAAACGAAAAAGAAAAGAAAGGAUAAGGUGUAAUCCCGUUUUUUGUCUUGUUGAAUCACCAAAACCAAUUUUCAUUGGUUGGGUUAACACCAAAAAGUAACUAAACAAGGGUAAGAUUUGGACGUGGUAGCCUCCAAGUGGUUCCCAGUUGCCCUCGUUUAUUAUCUAAGAGUUUUAGUACAAACAUCAUUGUCAACGUUCAUUAUCUAUUUACUUUUUAGUUUUAAAAUGUAUAAAUAAAAUUUUUACAGUGUUUUAAAUUGACGUACCGAUACAUCAUUAUUCUUUACUAAAAUAACUAAAUUCUAAAAUGUUGCGUGUUACUAUGCUGUUUAGUUAUUACUCACAUCUAUAUAUACAUUUUUGGAUCACAAUUAGCAAAUAAAUCCUGAAAUUGAGAAGUAUUUACAAUGACAUGCCAUUAGCAUUAAUUAUUUAAAUUUAUUUUAUUUAAGUAAAGAUUUUGAAAUCAAAUAUGUUCUCAACAAUUUACCAAAAAUCUCUACUCAAUCUUUUUAAAAAUCUCGACUUAGUUAACUUCUGAUUUUAUCUACAAAAAAAAAAAUAAUAAUUGUAACGAGUGAUGUAAAAAUCGGGAAUGUUGAUACUACAAUUUCUUCUACUUUUUUUUUUUUUAUAUAAUGAAAAUUAUUUUUUAGGAAUAUUUUCUUAAAACUCUAAACAAAACAAAGGGUUUCAAAAGAUAGCUUCUCUUUUGGCGGGUCGACCCGCAAACCCGCAACUCUCUACGGGCUUAUCCGCAUGAACCUGCGACCCGUAGUGGAUAAAAAUAUUAUUCAAAAAAAUAACAAAUGAUGUUUAAUUUUACGGGACGGGGUUAUAUGGUGCAACGGGUUUAGAUCAAUAUUAAUAUUAAACAAUAUACUAUGGAUGAAAUCCUAGAAUUAAAAAUCAAAAUUUAAUUAUAAAAUCAGAAACACUAAACAAAAUAAACAAUAUUAACAAAACAAAUACAACUUAAAAUUUUGCAAAAUAAUUUUUUAGUUAUAAAAAAAUCGACCCGCGGUGUACCGCGGGUAAAAUCUAAAUUUGGAAGUUUAAGGAAGGAAAUUUUUUUUAAAAAAAAUAAUAGCUCCGCGGUGUACCGCAAGAAAAAUCUUUCUCCUAAACUGAGGUAAGAAGAAGAAAAAAGCCAAAUGUCGUUUGUGUAUAUAUAGAUAUACCAUUUAAACCUAAAACACAAUUAAUAUACUCAAAACUAUUAAUAUAGACAUAUGGAUGGUACAUUUAUAAAAUAGGUCGAAAUAUUAUAGUAUACUCUCUAUUAAUAAACAAAAAUAAUUAUAUUUAGAUUUUUUAAAAAAUAAUUAUAACCCCGCGGUGUACCGCGGGUUCAAAUCUAGUAUACGUUAUUACUGAGUAAAUACAUGCCAUAUCAAGAGAGGAUUUAGAAACAUAAUUAACAUGAAGCACAAUAUAUUUAAUACAUAAAUUCUUAAUAUAAAGUUUUAUAUGAACCUUUAUUAAAAACAUGUAAAUGAAACAAAUUUCUUUGAUAUAUUAAUCAUUUGUUAUAGUAUGUUGUAUUAAAAUAAUUAUCUUAAACAAUAACAAAAAGAGUUAAGAGGGAAAAAAAUACUAAUAUAAAAAAUAUUAUUAUUUGAAAAUAGUGAAAAUAGAGAGUAAUAACCAAUUUGCUAUAAAAAUCAGUAGAAAACAUGGGGGAUACAUCAAACCAAUUGUUUCAUCAGCAUUCACCACUACAAAUUACAUAAGAAACUUUAAAAUUAUUAAAUUUUGUAUGGGACACGUGCAUGAGUAGUGAUACAUCUACGUCCGCCCCUAUGCCAGACCAUGGUAUCAUGCACUCAUAUAGUUGGUGACAAAAUGCAACAUUCACAUUUCUCUAAGGAAAAAUCCGAAACAAAUCACUACAUCAAUCUUAUUAUUUAUGCAUAAGACUGAUGACAACUAGACAAUUUUUUUUUUUUUUAAGUAGACAAUUUUACUAUCAUAUGUGUUGGAUUCCCGGUAUCUAAACUAGUAAAAAUUAUAUUAUAAACAUCACUCUUAAUUUAUCUUUUUACGAAGAGAUUAUGAGUUUUCAUUCUUUGAUCCAUGAUUUAUUUUUGUUCACGACCAAUAUUUGAUAAUAUAACCAUUUCUCAAAUAGAGAUGGGAACAAGAACUCAAAGUUCCUCUCCAAAUUUUUUUUGAAACCAAAUGAACUAUAUAUUACCGAUUGGUAAAUACCACUCACUCUUAAUUAGCUACAAAACAAUUGACAAUUUAACUUUUGUUCGCAUGCACCAUGACGAAACUUUUUUUUUUUUUGAUAAGAAUGUAAAUUAAUAUUCAUUUCACAAUGAAAGUUUGAGUUACACAAUUAAGCAUAACCAAAUACAUGAUCCCAUGCCAAAAAAAGGAUAAAAAACAGUUUACACCAUCAAUGAAAGUUUGAGUUUGAGUUUACACCAUGACGAAACUUGCGAGAAUCGUAUACACAACUCUAUAAAUUUAAUUAUAUACAUAGUACAAUUUAGCUAGGCUACGUACGUACUACUUUCUCUAGGCUUCUGGCAUUUUUUCUUUACUUUUGUCGUCACCAAACGAAGAGACUUGACUGUGGUAAGAAGAAUUCUUCAGCUUUAUCUGAUAAGGGGACUAUGAUAUGUUUUAGAUAGCUAUUUCUUUUUUGGGGGGAGGGGUGGUAAAUUCUAGAUUAUCAGGUUUGGGUUCAUGAUCAUUUCAAGUGUAGGAUUAAUAUUUGAAUAACAUAUCUAUCCUCUAAUCUGUAAUUAUCUCACAUUUGAUAACACGAAGAUAUAUUCUAUGAUUUGAAAUUCUCUCUUAUAAAACACAUAGUUAAACUGAAACCCUGGAUCCAACUUUGAAACAACACGUUUUACCCAGUGAUAGUAUUAGUAACACCACAUUUGCAUAUGACCAAUGUGGUCCACGUGAUGUGGAUACAAAAUAACACAAAAUAUCUGCAUGUUAGUUAUAUUAGUCAUUGCACUUAAUAUGCGGCAUGAUGAAGAGGAUUAAAAGUCCUAAUAACUCUAAAUUUAUAACUGAGUCCCUCCCUACUCCACUUUUAUCUCUUAUAGCUUAUUGGAUUAUUGUUUUUGUAACAGAGCUACUACAAUAUUAAUUAAUGUUUAUGGAGGAGCAACUGCGUAAUAUGUCCUUUAAUGAAAUAUAUAAAAAUAAAGAAUUUUGUUAGGCGGGGAUAGAUGAAGAUUGUCUUCUAAUGAUUGCAACUUUCUGAGAAUAGUAUGUUACUGUUGAUUGUUGUACCUAGCUCUAGUUGUAAAUAAUAUCAAACUAAGUAACAAGAGCAACUUGUUUACACUAAAAAGGGACCCGAAGUAAUCCCCUCAAUCAAAAAUGUGGAUCAGUUCAUCAUCGAAGUAACGUGUUAAUUAUCGCCAUAUGCUCGCCACAACAUCGACCCCCCACCAUACCCACUCAAUAAUGUCAAUUCAGCUUUUUCGUAUUUUUAUAAAUAAUUGUUUUUUUUGAAUUUUCAACCCAUGAUUUAUAGAUACAUGAUCAUCUAUUAAUAAUUCAUCGAAUAGUUUUAUAAAAUAUUAGAUUAUUCAAAAGCAAUACGCAAACUCAAAUCGGAUCGGAUAAGACUAAAAUAAUAUCACCCGGUUUAAGUUAACUAAUUCCACAUAUUUUGAAUAGAACUAAUUUGUUGUUCAACUCUCCAAAACUGUCUUCUAUCCUUCGAUCUUAUAAUGAAUUUCAUGUUUGACGCAUGUUUGUAAUUUAUAGAUAGCCUUUGCUGUUAACUUGUUUAUACAUGUUGACAAAUUUGGAAAUUAUAUACUUUUUGUAUUUUGGGUAAAAAACUACAGUAUAUACUUAUGAAAACAUUAAUGAUAACAAAGAAACCUCAGAUCUACAGUUCCAACUUCCAACUUGUGUCUGACACGAGUUUCUAUACGAUAAGAUCAAACAUGUAUAUCAGGAGACUUUUCUAUAGAUGAACUGAUAGUAAUAAGAUUCAAAUCAGGAAAUAAACAACUUGGAAACCGAACGGGAGUUUGGGUUCUUUAAGAGAAAACUAGUUAUAGAAUAUACUUUUAGAUCAUUUUUUUAUUUUUUGACAUCCAUUACAUUACAGCUUUUUUUUAGAUUUGGUGUUUUUCAUUUUGUUAUCAGUCACAAAUAUUGUUUUUCAAAAGAUAUUGUAUCUUUUUACUCUCUUCAGAAGCACCGGACAACAACGAGCAAUGCUGACUUGUCGGGGUCAGCAAUUAUAAUUUAGUCACCGAACGAAAAUAAUUUUUAGGUUGACGCCAAAAAAACGGAAAAAAAAAAUAUCUAAGUGGGGGCUGGGGGGCAUUAUUGUUUUAUCACCAAGGAAAAGUAAACACAAUGGCCCAUUUUUACUGUAUCGAUAAAUUGAUCUCCAAAAGGACAAAAUUACCCCUCCACAAUGGGCAGCCAUUAUUGUGCAUAACACACGCAGUUUCACUAUAUAUACUUUCAUAGAGGAUCUCAACACUCUCACUAAACCAAAACCUCAAAAGCAUUAUUUGGGGAUCGUCAACUUUCUUUCAUCACCAUGGAUCCUUACAAGGUAUAUAUCUCCAUAUUCUUCUUUCUUCUUAUUUUAGGCUUAUCUUGAAUCGAUCAUUUCUUUUUUUUUUUGUCAAAAAUCUUGAAUAGAUCAUGUUUGUUUAGUUAUGCUCGUUUUUAGCUGAUUUUGAUGAGAAAAAUAAAGUUAGAUUGGAUUUAUGUUCGUAAAUCUUCGCGUUAAAAUGAUUUUUUGCUCAAAAACGACUUACUUAAUUCUAUGAUCGCCUGAACUCUAAGUCGAUGAUGUUGAUUUUUGUUUUGGCUGGCUAUCUUUUACUAAAACGUUUUGAUCUAUAAACAACCACUGCAUGAGAAAGACACGCCACAUGUGGUUUUUUCUUGUUUUUUUUCCUUAGAUUAGAAGUGAUUUUUGUUGUUUAUGUUUUUUCAUUACACACGUGCUCUAAAAUCGGACGUUCCGAUGAUUUAAUCGAUAGUUUAAACGUCCGACGGUAUAUUAUUUUAGUGAUUUUAGCCAAAUCAUCAACUAAAUGAUUUCUCAGAUAUACUGAACACCUGAGUAAUCAAAUCUUCACGUUUGAAUAAUCAAAUUUAAAUAAUCGUUUAAGUUAGAUAUAAACAUACGAUAAGUAUAUUUUAAACACUCGGUUAAUCUAUCAAUACAAUUAUUUUUUUCAUACAACACAAAAGUUCUCUCGCACACCGACGAAAUAAAACAAAAUUCUAUCAGUUCGUAUCAUUAAAAGUGUUAUGUAGAUCAAACAAGACUUGAAUAUACUUAAAAAAGUAUAACAAUCGAAUAAAUAUAUACUACUCCGACAUGUUACUGUUUUCGUCACCAAAUCUAAAGACUUCUUCGUUAAAUAAUGGUCUUUGGUCGGGAUGGACCACCUGGCGAUCCGGUCCGACCAGGAAACCGGGUUUUGAUUUGUUCGGGUUGCAUCAGAAAAUUAGGGCUUUCUACAAAUUUUGUGGAUUGUUCAUGUCGAAUCCGUUCGAUUGUUGAUUCAAUUAACCAAAUUUCACCUCCGAAUUAUGGUGAUUGCAGUAUCGUCCUUCGAGCGCGUACAACGCCCCAUUCUACACCACAAACGGUGGUACUCCAGUCUCCAACAACAUCUCUUCCCUCACCAUCGGAGAGAGAGGUAUUUGUAAUCCUGAAUUCAAAGUAUCUAACCAUAAGAAUCGGAACUGUAACCUUGUACUUGCUGGAUUUAUGGAAGAGAUGAAACUGAGAUAUAGAGUCUAAAGCUAGGAUCUUGUUAAUGGAGUCUGAUGUGUUCUUUUAAGUUAACAUGUGUUGCUUCGUAUUGAGCAGGUCCGGUUCUUCUUGAGGACUACCAUCUGAUCGAGAAGGUUGCCAAUUUCACCAGAGAGAGGAUCCCUGAGAGAGUGGUUCAUGCCAGAGGAAUCAGUGCUAAGGGUUUCUUUGAAGUCACCCAUGACAUUUCUAACCUCACUUGUGCUGAUUUUCUCAGAGCUCCUGGUGUUCAAACUCCGGUUAUUGUCCGUUUCUCCACCGUUGUCCACGAACGUGCUAGUCCUGAAACCAUGAGGGAUAUUCGUGGUUUCGCUGUCAAGUUUUACACCAGAGAGGUAUAAGAAAAGAUUUAAGUUUCCAUUUUUAAUUUAAUCAGUCUUUUAGCUUCUUUAGAAUCUGUACUGAUUUGUGUCUUGCUACUGUUUUGAUAAUUUCAGGGGAACUUUGAUCUUGUUGGGAACAACACUCCGGUGUUCUUCAUCCGUGAUGGGAUUCAGUUCCCGGAUGUUGUCCACGCGCUGAAACCAAACCCGAAAACAAACAUCCAAGAGUACUGGAGGAUUCUGGAUUACAUGUCCCACUUGCCAGAGAGUUUGCUCACAUGGUGCUGGAUGUUUGAUGAUGUUGGUAUUCCACAAGAUUACAGGCACAUGGAGGGUUUCGGUGUCCACACCUACACUCUUGUUGCCAAAUCUGGAAAAGUUCUCUUUGUGAAGUUCCACUGGAAACCAACUUGCGGGAUCAAGAAUCUGACUGAUGAAGAGGCCAAGGUUGUUGGAGGAGCCAAUCAUAGCCAUGCCACUAAGGAUCUCCACGAUGCCAUUUCAUCGGGCAACUACCCCGAGUGGAAACUUUUCAUCCAGACCAUGGAUCCUGCGGAUGAGGAUAAGUUUGACUUUGACCCACUUGAUGUGACCAAGAUCUGGCCUGAGGAUAUUUUGCCUCUGCAACCGGUUGGUCGCUUGGUUCUGAACAGGACCAUUGACAACUUCUUCAAUGAAACUGAGCAGCUCGCUUUCAACCCGGGUCUUGUGGUUCCUGGAAUCUACUACUCAGACGACAAGCUGCUCCAGUGUAGGAUAUUUGCUUAUGGUGACACUCAGAGACAUCGUCUUGGACCAAAUUAUCUGCAGCUACCAGUGAAUGCUCCCAAAUGUGCUCACCACAACAAUCACCAUGAAGGUUUUAUGAACUUCAUGCACAGAGACGAGGAGGUACGUCUUAGUACCACUUGAGCUACCAUUGUUAGUCUUUUGACUUGGAAUCAAAAUUCUUAUAGGGUGUUUGCUUUUUACAGAUCAAUUACUACCCCUCAAAGUUUGAUCCUGUCCGCUGUGCCGAGAAAGCUCCUAUCCCUACAAACUCCUACACUGGAAUCCGAACAAAGGUCUGAUUCAUGACAUGCGUUCUUUAAAUCUUGAAAACCUCAGACUCAAUAUAUUGAAAAGUGUCUGCUAAGAAAACCUUGAAACUGCUAAUGUUGCAGUGCGUCAUCAAGAAAGAGAACAACUUCAAACAGGCUGGAGACAGGUACAGAUCAUGGGCACCAGACAGGCAAGACCGGUUUGUUAAGAGAUGGGUUGAGAUUCUGUCGGAGCCACGUCUCACCCACGAGAUCCGCGGCAUCUGGAUCUCUUACUGGUCUCAGGUGAGAACAAAAAACCACUCAGUGAAAUCUCUGCUUCCUUUUUCACCAAAUAUUCAGCAAACUAAACAUUAUAAUCUCUCUUAUCUUUCAGGCUGAUCGAUCUCUGGGACAGAAACUUGCAAGCCGUCUGAACGUGAGGCCAAGCAUCUAGAGACCAAUCUCCAGAUAAGUUGAGUCUAAUGCGAGGUACACAAUCUCAUCGAUCCAUCAUCGCUUGGUCGUUAAAUCCGUCAAAAGAUAUUCCACCUGUGUUGUUGUUUCAUGUCAAUAUAAUAAUAAUGCAUAUGCUUGUAAUCCCAUAGACUCUUGUUUCCUUCGGUUUUAGUCGCACAGUCUGUGUCUUUGUAAUCUCUUUUACAAUAAAUCAAUGUUUCUUAUGGUGGUCGUAUACAUAUAUUUUUAAGAGAAAUUGCACUAGAUAAUUUAAAAAAAAAACAAAAUUAAAUAUCUAACCUCUAACCCCUCUAUUCACUCUCUUUCUCUUCCUAUCUCUCUCUACCUUCUUUCUAAAAAACUAAUUUUUCUUUUUUUUUGGUUAUUCACCUAAAUCACCACUCUCUCAUUUUUAAUUCAGCAUUAGAUUAAAAAAAAAAAAAAAACAGAGAAAAUAUUUGGUUAUGUAUAAUUUUAAGGAGAAUCCAGAAUUGGAUCCACAAUUGUCUAUUAAUGGUAUAGAAUCUGACGAAAUUAAAGACGAUAUAUCAUCCACACGUAAUUAGUUUGAUUAUCAUUUGGAUAAGGAUAAACAAAGAAAAAACACAUACGUUUUUUGCUUGUAUCGCGAUACAUAACGAGAUUUGUCUCAUUUUAUCGCGGCGGGAUUUUGGGAUUGAGCUAAAAUAAGAUAUUUUAGCUUUUGGCUCGCUAUAAAAAAAAUCGACAACAGUGCAGACGCACGCCGAUUUGCGUAGAGAGACUCAACUAAAAAAAUCACAAAGGAAAAUUUGGGAUCAAAAUUAGUCUUGCGGCAUCAUGGAUCCAUACAGGGUACAUCGAUCGAUUCUCUUUAGGCUCCUUUUUUUGUAAUCUGAAAUUUUGCCUUACUUGAUUUCGUAUCAAUUUGGUUUUUGAUUUGGUGUUGAAUACUACAAAGUAUACGAUCUCUCUCGGUUAAAAUGAUAUGCAAAAUUGGGGUGAUUGUUCGACCUAUUGAGGUUUUUGUGGGGUCUUUAACUCAAUUUCUUUAAUAUUUAGCAGAGAUCAGGUUUGGGAUUUACAUGCGUUGAAUAUUAGAAAAGAAAACUGGUACAUAUUUAGGAUUCUACAUGUUUUCUUCGUCUAUUGAUUGUUUAAUCAAACAAGUCUUAAGGCUCAUGUUUUAAGGUUUCUUUAUCACUGUGUUUGAUUGUGAAUAUCAUUGUACCUUAAAUAUCAGCUCGGAAAUGCUAACGUUUUCGUGAUUUGUAUCUUACUUUUUGUUUAGUUGAAUUUUAAGUUAAAUGGAUCAUAUACUUUGUGGCAUUGUUAUCUAUCUAGUUACAAGUAUCUCAUUUGUCAAAGACGUUUCUCCAUUUUAAGGGAAUUUGGUUAAAUUUUUUGAUCCAGUUGCAUUUUUUAUUCUUCUGAAUUUAUUUGUUGACUGCAGGUUCGUCCUUCAAGCGCUCAUGAUUCCCCUUUCUUCACUACAAACUCGGGUGCUCCUGUCUGGAACAACAACUCUUCUUUGACUGUCGGAACUCGAGGUGCGUCUCUCUUUCUUUAUCUCUCGAAUACAAAUUAUAGCAAAUAGGUUGAACCAGUGGUUGUCAGAGAUGUCCUUAAAGCUAGAGUAAUGGAAGCCAAAUAAUUUUUAUAAACGUUUAGAUAAGAAUGUCAUUAGUGUUUUUCUGGACUUGCGUGAAUCAGCUCUCUUCCUUCAUUUAUAUGCCAAAUCUAUUAAUUCUUCCAAUGUUUAUUCUGUUUGCUUUCUUGAAAAUUUAGAAAUGUGAAACGAUGAUAUUGUAUACUGUCAGGUCCAAUUCUUCUGGAGGACUAUCAUCUGCUUGAGAAACUCGCCAACUUUGACAGGGAGCGGAUUCCUGAGAGGGUAGUUCAUGCCAGGGGAGCCAGUGCUAAGGGUUUCUUUGAAGUCACUCAUGACAUUACACAACUUACUUCUGCUGAUUUUCUUCGAGGACCUGGUGCUCAGACUCCUGUUAUUGUUCGUUUCUCAACUGUCAUCCAUGAGCGUGGCAGUCCCGAGACUCUCAGAGAUCCUCGUGGUUUUGCUGUUAAGUUUUACACCAGAGAGGUUAGCUUUUGUCUUAUCCUUCCAUCGUCUCUCUGUUUUCUGUAAUCAAUAUCUAUGUGUUUGCUGUUGUUGGAAUGUUUUAUUUGCUCAUCUAUUUCGUUUUACCACCUAUUUGAUUAAUUGCUAAUCAUAUUGUACUCUUCUGAUUCUUAUUACCCUCUGUUUGCAAACUCAGGGGAACUUUGAUCUUGUUGGGAACAACUUCCCUGUAUUCUUCGUCCGUGAUGGAAUGAAAUUCCCUGACAUGGUCCAUGCAUUGAAACCGAAUCCCAAGUCCCACAUUCAGGAGAACUGGAGAAUACUGGACUUCUUCUCCCACCACCCAGAGAGUUUGCACAUGUUUUCGUUCCUCUUUGAUGAUCUCGGUAUCCCACAGGACUACAGGCACAUGGAAGGUGCUGGGGUCAACACUUACAUGCUAAUCAACAAAGCUGGAAAAGCUCACUAUGUGAAAUUCCACUGGAAGCCGACUUGUGGGAUCAAAUGCCUGUCGGAUGAGGAAGCUAUCAGAGUUGGAGGAUCCAAUCACAGCCAUGCUACUAAAGAUCUCUAUGACUCGAUCGCAGCCGGGAACUAUCCACAGUGGAAUCUCUUCGUUCAGGUGAUGGAUCCUGCCCACGAAGACAAAUUCGAUUUCGAUCCGCUUGAUGUCACAAAGAUCUGGCCUGAAGAUAUCUUGCCUCUACAACCUGUUGGCCGCUUGGUCUUGAACAAAAACAUCGACAACUUCUUUAACGAGUACGAACAGAUUGCUUUCUGUCCUGCUCUUGUGGUUCCAGGCAUCCACUAUUCAGAUGAUAAACUACUCCAGACCCGGAUCUUCUCCUACGCUGAUAGUCAGAGACACCGUCUUGGACCAAACUAUCUGCAACUACCUGUCAAUGCCCCUAAAUGUGCUCACCACAACAAUCACCAUGAUGGUUUUAUGAACUUCAUGCACAGGGAUGAGGAGGUAAUAAUCUCUCUCGGCUCUGGAAACUCUCAGAUACUUAAAUUCACCACCAUUUUCACAUUUAUAUGAAGUAAAUUUGUUACUUUCCAAUUCCAG
rnacentral:lncRNA from 1 species